GCAUGGAAAGGUGGCCACAUGAUUACAAAGAGAUGAAGCAUGAAGUCGAGAUCAUGGUGAUAGACAAGGAGUAAAGUAAUCAAGGCAAAGGUAUAAACAUAGGGUUUUGCUUUUGCCAGUCUAAGUUGAGUAGAGAAGUGAUUGACCAGGUUUAGGAUAGAUAGCCGACUAUCAAGAGGGGAAAUCACAGUCAUCUCUCGAAUCAAGUGCUACCAGGUCCAUAUCUUGAGCAUAUGCAUUAGGAUCUAGUGAAGUGCUAACCUAACUCCUUUGAUGAAAAUGUUUGUGAAAAGCUAAGACACAUGCACAUUGGUGGUGGUCACUUGGUGGUGCUAGCACAUUUGCAAAGGAGGUGGAGUUCCUAGGGUAGAUAGGGUUUGGGGUUCCUAGAUUCGACGCUUUUGGGAAAUUGAAAUGUAUAUUUUCUAUUGCACCAAUGGAAAGUUUGGGAAAGUCACGAGAGUGUUUUUCAUUGGAAAAUACUCACCAGACGUUAGCCUCGGAGGCACCGGACGCUGCUCCUAAGUGUCUGGUGCGCUCUCAUUUUUGGCAAAGGUGAAGGGAACACCGGAUGCUGAGCAUCGGAUGGUGGCCAGACACUAUUGGUGCAUCCGGUGUUGUCUGACAUCAGUAGGUGUUUCUGACUGAGAGCACCAGACGCUCAAGGCGCGUCCUGUGGUGUGAGUUCGGUGUCCCUAUGCAUUUGCAGCACUCUCUGAGUAAGGGACCGGACGCUUAGGGUGUGUCUAGUAGUCUGCAUCCGCUGACCCAGCGCGUUUUACACCCUCUCUACAUAUGGGUCUGGUGAGUACCUGACGCGUUCGGUGCUCACUUGAUCGUGUCCGAUAGUUUGUAGGUGACCGUUAGAGAUCGACAUGUGAAAGUCAAAAGGACGACACGUGGUUAUCAUCAAGGCACUAGACGCAGGGUUCCAGUGUCUGGUGGCUCCCCAUUGUGUGUCUGAUGCCCCUAAGUUUUACCCAGUGAUAGAGCCAAGGACUCUAUUUGUUGAGAGGGCUUAUAAAUAGGAGGUGUCCAGCUUUGGGGGGUCUCUCUUGCACUUUGACAUACUUGAGACAUUCUUUGAGCUAGAGAACACUCCCUCCACUCAUCUCCUUGCUUGAUUGCUAAUCCUAGUGAGAUUGAGUGAGAUUCAAGUGCAUUGCUUAGUGAGUUGCAUCUAGUGGCACUUGAUUUUUGAGUUUGUUGCAGAUUUCUUGUUACUCUUGGGUGUUUCUCGACGCCCUAGAUGUCUUGGAGAAGCGAAGGUGUUGAGCUCAUGAUUAGAGAUUGUUUUGAGCCUCACCAAGUGAUUUGUGAGGGGUUCUUGAGCCUUCCCCGCGGGAGAUCGCAAUUGGCUACUCUAGUAGAUUGCUCGUGGCUUGGAGGAUCCUCAUCUUGGAGUGGAUGUGCAGCACCCGCGGAGGGUUUGGCUUUGAAUUGCCAAUUAGCUCGUGAUCCAUCAAGUGGGUGUAUCACCACAAUGAGGACUAGCUUGCCGGGAAGCAAGUGAACCUCGAUAAAAUAUCGUGUCAUAUCUUGCCGAGGAUUCUCUCUUGUGCUUGUGAUUGUAAGUGAUUGAUUGAUUGGUCAUAUUCCUACUCUACAACGUUGGUAUAACAAUCACUCCCCACUCCUUUACUUACUAGCAUACCUUGCUAGUUGUUUAGCUUGUUUAGCUUAGCCUUGUUGUUUAGGAGUGUAGGUAGUUUUAGUUGUGCUUUCUUGUUGUGACUUAGUGUUUAGCUUUCUUGCUAGAAUUGUGUAGGUGGCUUGCAUAGCUUAGUUAUGCUAGUGCUAGAAUAACUUCGCCAUUUAUUUUACUAACACACUUGCUGAGUGAAGUUUGUAGAAAAUUUAAAUAGGCUAUUCACCCCCUCUCUAGCCAUUUGGACCUUUCAAGUGGUAUCAGAGCUGAGGCACCAUUUAAUUGAGGCUUAACAACCUUCGGUGAAGAAAUGGCUCUUAGUUUGCAUAUCAACAACACCAAGAAGGUACCUUAGUUUGAUGGCACCAAUUAUGCAUAUUGGAAGGUCAAGAUGACCACGCAUCUUAAGUCAAUCAAUAGAGAGGAUUGGAAGGUGACCCAAAAAAAGUUUGAGGUUGCAAAUGACAAUGCACCAACACUGGUUGAAGAAAAGAAGCUUCAAUGCAAUGACAUUACAAUAAGUGCUCUUCAUGAAGCUCUUGAUGACAAGACCUUUGAGCAAAUCAAGAACAUUGAGAUUGCUCAUGAUGCAUGGGCAAAGCUAGAAGAAACAUUUGAGGGCACUAAGGGCACCAAGACCACCAAGGCAUACAUCCUUCAAGAAAAUUUCUCAAGCUUCAAAUGCAAGAGGAUGAAAGUAUGCCGAAAAUGUUCCAUCGGUUGCAAGUCAUUGUGAAUAAGCUCAAGGCACUUAGGGAAGAAGUGAAGGAUAGUCAAUUCUCUAUGAAGUUCUUGAGAAGCUUACCCAAGAGAUUUAACACAUUGAUCACCGUGCUAGUCAAGACAACACUUAGUGAAUCAACACCUAAACAAGUAUUCCAAGAGGUGAUGACUGAUGAUGCCUAUAGAGAAGAUGAUGAGAAGGAUGAGUUGGUCAAGAAGAAGAAGAAGAAAGGUGAAAAGAAGGAUGAUGAGAAUAAGAAGAGUGUAGCAUUUAAGGCCUCCACAUCUAAGGGCAAAGUCAAGAUAGAAUCAUCAAGUGAAGAAGAAGCAAGCUCUUGUGAUAGUGAUAAAGAUGAGGAGAUGGCUCUUCUUGUCAAGAGAUUUGGCAAGUUCAAAAAGAAGAAGGGCUACCGGGCUAGGAGAAAGAAGAGCUCUUCCAAGAAAAAUUAUCAUGCCAUGAGAUACUUUAGAUGCCAUAGCAAGGAUCAUCUCAUCGCCAAGUGUCCCUAUGAUAGUGAUGAUGAAGAUGCUAUCAAGAAGGAAAGAAAGAAGCAAAAUAAGAAGCAAGAAAAGAAAGAAGGCUCAAACAUGAAGAAGGGUGAUGCCCAUGUUGCAACUUGGGAUAGUGAUGACUCCUCAAGUGAUGAUGAGAGCACCAAGAAGAAGGGGGCACGCUAGCAUUACAAUUCAAGGAAAGAGCUCCAUCUUGGACACUCCAUCAUGCUUCAUGGCUAAGGCCACUAAGGUAUCAUCCGAUGAUGAGAGUGACCAUGCUAGUGAUAGUGAUAGUGAUGAUGAUGAACCUACUAAAGAUGAACUAAUCAGUAUGCUAGAAGACUGCACUUAUCACUAUAAAGAAACUAGAAAGGAGUGCAAGGCCUUGCUCAAGGAUAAGAAAACCCUUAUGCAAGAACUUGAUGAGCUUAGAGCAUCUUAUGAGAGUCUAAAGGUAGACCAUGAGAAGCUACAAAAGACUCACCCUAAGCUUGAAGAAGCUCAUUCCUCUCUAGUUAACAAAUGUGAAAAUGAGCCAACAAAAAUUGAGAAAGCUAAAACUUGCAACAUAGGCCUAACAUGUGAGAUCUUAAGUAAGCCUAUUAUUGUUGCUUCUACUAACCCUUCAUGUAGCACAUCUACAUCAUCCUCAUCAAGUAGUGAUGGUUUCACUUGUGACACCACACUAAAAGCUGAGAAUGAAAUUCUCAAGAAGGAGGUGAAAGAGCUCAAUCACACCUUAGCCAAGGCUUAUGGUGGUGAGGACCGCUUGCUUAUGUGCUUGGGUAGCCAAAGAGAUUCUCUCUACAAAGAGGGAUUGGGCUAUAACCCCAAGAAAGGCAAGGCCACCUUUGCUCCUCACAAGACACGUUUUGUGAAGAACAAUGGCCGGUUAUUGCAAAGCUUGCAAGCAAGUUGGUCACUUAGAGCAAUAAUGCAUGAACAAGAAACCCAAAGCUAAUGUAUCCUCAAUUAAGCUUAAUUCUUUCUAUGUGCUUACCAAGGAUACAAAAGGUGUUCAUGCUAAAUUCACUGGUGCACCAUGGAUGGGCUCAAAGAAGAAAGCCAUUUGGGUACCAAAGAGCUUAGUUGCUAACCUUGGAUGACCCAAUCAAGUUUGGGUACCUAAAAAUAAUUGAUCUUGUCUUGUAGGUCAAUUACAAAGCCGGAGGAAGGCAUUGGGUGCUUGAUAGUGGGUGCACUCAACAUAUGACCGGGGAGUCUUGUAUGUUCAAAUCAAUUGAUACUAGCCAAAAUGGUGGCUUUGAUUCUAUCACUUUCGGUAACAACAAGAAAGGCAAGGUCAAAGGGCUUGGUAAAAUUGCUAUCUCAAAUGACAUGAGCAUAUCAAAUGUGUUGCUAGUUGAAAACCUAGAUUUCAAUCUCUUGUCAAUUGCUCAACUUUUGGACCUUGGUUUCAAGUGCAUCUUUGGUAGUGAUGAUGUUGAGGUGGUUAGUGUUGAUGGAUCCAACUUGAUAUUCAAAGGAUUUAGGCAUGGUAGCUUAUACUUGGUUGAUUUCAAUGAUAGUGACACUCAAUUGACAUCUUGCCUAAUUAGCAAAUCAAGUUUGGGUUGGUUGUGGCAUAGAAGCCUUGGUCAUGUUGGAAUGAAACAACUAAACAAACUAUUGGGGCAUGGCUUAGUUAGAGGCUUGAAGGAUGUCACUUUUGAGAAGAACAAACCAUGUAGUUCUUGUCAAGCCGGAAAGCAAGUUGGAAAUGCACAUCCUAAAAAAUGAAAUGAGCACAUUAAAGGCAUUUGAGCUAUUGCACAUGGAUUUAUUUGGGCCGACAACAUACACUAGCAUUGGUGGCAACAAAUAUGGCUUUGUGAUAGUUGAUGACUACACUAGAUACACUUGGGUGUUCUUCCUCUAUGACAAGAGUGAUGUUUGUGAUCUAUUUAAGUCUUUUGUCAAUAGAGUGCAAAAUAAGUUUGAGACCACUAUCAAGAAGAUUAGAAGUGACAAUGGUAGUGAGUUCAAGAACACAAGAAUUGAGGAAUUGUGUGAUGAUCUUGGCAUUGGACAUCAAUUCAAUCCAACAUACACUCCUCAAUCCAGUGGUGUAGUUGAAAGAAAGAAUAGAACCUUGAUUGAUAUGGCUAGGUCAAUGCUUAGUGAACACAAUGUUAGCCAUUCAUUUUGGAGUGAAGCUAUCAACACGGCUUGCUAUUGUAGCAAUUGUCUCUAUUGCCAUGGGAAGCUUGGGAAGACACCAUAUAAGCUAUUGAAUGGAAGAAAGCCCAACAUUGCAUACUUUAGAGUGUUUGGUUGCAAAUUCUACAUUCUUAAGAAAGGAACUAGAUUGAGCAAGUUUGAGAAGAAAAUGUGAUGAAGGGUUCUUACUUGGUUAUUCCAUCACAAGCAAGGCAUAUAGAGUUUGGAACUUGGAAAGUGGCACUUUAGAAGAAGUUCAUGAUGUUGAGUUUGAUGAAACCAAAGGAUCCCAAAAUGAAACUCAAAAUCUUGAUGAGGUGAGAGGAGAUCAAUUAGCAAAUGCAAUGAAGAACAUGGAUGUAGGUGUCAUAAGGCCGAGGCAAGUUGAUGAUGAUAAUGAUAUUCACAUGAUCAAUCAAGAAGUGCAAAUUGAUACAAAUCAAGCUAGUACUAGUGGCUCUCAUGAUCAAAAUCAAAAUCAAGCAAGUGAAAGCAAUCAACUCCCAACACUCCAACCUACAAGCAUAGCAAGGGAUCAUCCAUUGGAUCAAGUCAUUGGUGGUAUUCAAAGUGAUGUACAAACUAGAUCAAGACUAGCAUCCUUUUGUGAGCACUAGGGAUGAAAAUGGUAUGGAUAUUUUCCGAUCGUAUUCGAGACCGUAUUCAUUUAGAGGGGUUUAGAUCUAUCCGUAUCCGAGUCUGAAUGUUUAAUAUCUGAUACCGUAUCUGUAUAUGAAUACUUAAGUCGUAUAUUUAUGAUGUUGACAUACAAUCGUAUCUUAUCCAACAUUAUUUAUAUUAUCCGUAUUCGAAUCUGAAUCUGACCAAAAAUAUGAAAACAAAUAUGAUAUCAAUGAUAUCUGUCUGUAUUCGAUCCGUUUUCAUCCCUAGUGAGCACCAUUCAUUUGUCUCAUUUGAAGAACCAAAGAGAAUAGAAGAUGCAUUGAAAGAUUCCAAUUGGGUAAAUGUCAUGCAUGACGAAUUGAACAACUUCACAAGAAAUCAAGUGUGGGAGCUUGUUGAGAGGCCAAAGAACUAAAAUGUGAUUGGUACCAAGUGGGUCUUUAGAAACAAGCAAGAUCAAGAUGGUGUAGUUGUAAGAAACAAAGCAAGAUUAGUAGCACAAGGCUACACACAAGUUGAAGGUCAUGACUUUAGAGAAACUUAUGCACCGAUUGCAAUAUUGGAGGCAAUUAGAAUAUUAUUAGCCUAUGCUUGUGCCCACAACAUCAAGUUCUAUCAAAUGGAUGUGAAGAGUGCAUUUCUCAAUGGAUAUAUCAAUGAGUUAGUUUAUGUUGAACAACCUCCUGGUUUUGAAGAUGACAAGAAACUCAACCAUGUUUACAAGCUCAAGAAGGCUUUGUAUGGUUUGAAGCAAGCACCAAGAGCAUAGUAUGAGAGAUUGAGAGACUUUCUCCUCUCUAAAGGGUUCAAGAUGGGAAAAGUUGACACUGCCCUCUUCACCAAGAAAUUAGGCAAUGACUUGUUUGUGUUGCAAAUCUAUGUUGAUAAUAUCAUCUUUGGAUCAACCAAUUAAGACAUUUGUGAAGAAUUUGGAAGAAUGAUGGCAAAUGAGUUUGAGAUGUUCAUGAUAGGAGAGCUUAGUUACUUCCUUGGACUUCAAAUCAAGCAAAUAAAGAAUGACACUUUUGUAAGUCAAGGAAAGUACAUCAAGGACAUGAUCAAGAAGUUUGGGUUCUAAGAAGCUAAGCCAAGGAGCACACCUAUGGGCACAAAUGAUCAAUUAGGUAGUGAUGCAAGUGGCAACAUGGUAGAUCAAAAGCUAUACCGAUCUAUGAUUGGAAGUUUGCUCUAUGUCACCGCAUCAAUGCCGGAUGUAAUGUUAGUGUGUGCAAUUGUGCAAGAUACCAAGCUUCACCUAGGGAGAGUCACUUGAAGGCAACCAAAAAAAUAUCGAGGUAUCUCAAGGGCACUCAUGAUGUUGGAUUAUGGUAUCCCAAGGGGUCUAACUUUGAGUUGAUUGGAUAUUCAGAAUUCGACUAUGGUGGCUGCAAGAUUGAUAGAGUGAGCACAAGUGGCACUUGUCAAUUGCUGGGAAGGUCUCUAGUUUCAUGGUCAUCAAAGAAACAAAAUAGUGUUGCACUAUCAACCACCGAGGCCGAAUACAUUAGUGCCGAUAGUUAUUGUGCACAAUUGAUUUGGAUGAAAGCUAUCUUAAAUGACUUUGGAAUCAAAUUCAAGAAUGUGUCUUUGCUAUGUGAUAAUGAGAGUGCAAUCAAGAUGACACAAAAUCUAAUUCAACAUUCAAGAACCAAGCACAUUGACAUAAGGCACCAUUUCAUAAGAGAUCAUCAACAAAAGGGUGAUAUUAGCAUUGAAAGCAUUGGCACCGAAGAUCAACUAGCCGACAUCUUCACAAAGCCACUUGAUGAGAAGAGAUUUUUCAAGUUGAGAAAUGAAUUGAACAUACUUGACUUCUCCAACUUGAGAUGAGUGCACCCCCACAUUUAUAUAUGACAUGCCUCUCCUCCAACAAAGCAAGGUAAAGUUGGUUGACGUAGCAUUCAUACUUUGCUAAGGACAUGAUUAGAACAUAUAGACAUGUUUGCAUGAUAAUAGGCUCAUUCAUGAAAAUCAAAAGCAUUUGAUGUAUGUAUGGCACCACUAUUGUUUCUAUGAUUAAUUGAUCUAGUGGUAGCAUAUGACAUAUUUGUGAGCUUGCAAGCCUAGUGUUGAAUCUAGAAUAUGAGCUUAUGAUGUAUAAUUCAACAUGGUCAAGAUAACCCUUAUACUUGAUGAGGUGUGAAAAAGCUUGUCCUUGGAUCAAAUCGAAUUACAUGUUCUAGGCAAGCGAUCUAGAUUGAACCAUAAUUUGACCCUCACAUUGAUUGACUUAAUUCUCACUAAAAUUUAAACCUUUGUGGUUAUUGAUGACAAAAGGGGAGAGAAACAAAGAUAAGUCCUAAGUAGGGAGAAAAGAUAAGGUAAUUGCUAUUCAAGAGAAAACCUUUUUAAAACUUGAGCACACAAGUAAGGGGAGCAAGCUCAUGAACUAUUUGUUGCAUUUGAAUGUGCACUAACAUAAUGAGGUGUUGCAUUGCAAGUUUAAAUUCACUACUCUUGUUUGAUUGGUGAUUGCUAGAAAUAGAACUUGAAUGAUAUUUUGAAUUCUAGCAUAGAGUAUUAUUUACAUGUGGUAUCUAGACAUAUAAUAUGAUCUCACGUGGUAUCUUGAGUUUUUGAUGUAUGUCUAGCUACAUUGGUGCUAAGGAUGGGAUAUUGGCAACUCCGAUUGGUAUCACGCUUCAAAGGUCCAUUCUAUACACCUUAGCAUCAUUUUGAUAGUAAAAAAUCUCCCAAAUCUCCAAAUCAUGCAUAUGUGCAAACUUGAACCAAACUCACGGAAGCACAUAUGUAGGGGAGCUAGUACUACCAAAACCGAAAUUGAAAUGUUUGUCCAAUCUUGUCUCAUGAUCAAAAUGCUUUGGACAAGCAAUUCAAGUUCUUUAUAAUUUCAUUUCAUAUCUUUGUGAUGGUUGUCAUCAAUUACCAAAAAGGGGGAGAUUGAAAGCCCAAGUUUGGUUUUGGUAAUUAAUGACACCAAGUUACUAAUGUCUUGUGUUUAAGUGAUUUGAGUUAGGCAUAACAACACAUGUGAUGAAGGUGCAAGGUGGCAUGGAAAGGUGGCCACAUGAUUACAAAGAGAUGAAGCAUGAAGUGGAGAUCAUGGUGAUAGACAAGGAGUAAAGUGAUCAAGGCAAAGGUAUAAACAUAGGGUUUUGCUUUUGCCGAUCUAAGUUGAGUAGAGAAGUGAUUGACCGGGUUUAGGACAGAUAGCCGACUAUCAAGAGGGGAAAUCACGAUCAUCUCUCGAAUCAAGUGCUACUAGGUCCAUAUCUUGAGCAUAUACAUUAGGAUCUAGUAAAGUGCUAACCUAACUCCUUUGAUGAAAAUGUUUGUGAAAAGCUAAGACACAUGCACAUUGGUGGUGGUCACAUGGUGGUGUUAGCACAUUUGCAAAGGAGGUGGAGUUCCUAGGGUAGAGAGGAGUUUGGGUUCCUAGAUUCAACGCUUUUGGGAAAUUAAAAUGUAUAUUUUCUAUGGCCCCAAUGGAAAGUUUAGGGAAGUCACGGGAGUGUUUUUUAUUGGAAAAACACUCACCAGACGCUGGCCUCGGAGGCACCUGACGCUGCUCCUGAGUGUCUGGUGCACUCUCAUUUCUGGCAGAGGUGAAGGGAGCAUUGGACACUGAGCAUCGGACGGUGGCCAGACAUUGUUGUUGCGUCCGGUGUUGUCUGACAUCAGCAGGUGUUUCUGACUAAGAGCACUGGACGCUUAGGGCACGUCCGGUGGUGUGAGUUUGGUGUCCCUGUGUGUUUGCAGCGCCCUCUGAGUAAGGGACCGAACGCACAGGGCUCGUCCGGUGGUCUGCGUCCGAUGACCCAGUGCAUUUUACACCCUCUCUGCAUACGGGUCCGGUAAGUGCCUGACACGUCCGAUGCUCAAUUGACCGUGUCUAAUAGUUUGCAGGUGACCGUUAGAGAUCGACGCGCGAAAGUCAAAAGGACAACAUGUAGCUAUCAUCAAGGCACCCGACGCAGGGUUCCAGUGUCUGGUGGCUCCCCGUCGUGCGUCCGGUGCCCCCGAGUUUUGCCUAGUGAUAGAGCCAAUGACUCUAUUUGUUGAGAGGGCUUAUAAAUAGGAGGUGGCCGGCUUUGGGGGAGUCUCUCUUGCACUUUGACAUACUUGAGACAUACUUUUGAGCUAGAGAACACUCCCUCCACUCAUCUCCUUGCUUGAUUGCUAAUCCUAGUGAGAUUGAGUGAGAUACAAGUGCAUUGCUUAGUGAGUUGCAUCUAGUGGCACUUGAUUUUUGAGUUUGCUGUGGAUUUCUUAUUACUCUUGGGUGUUUUCCGAUGCCCUAGAUGGCUUGGAGCAGUGGAGGUGUUGAGCUCGUGAUUGGAGAUUGUUUGGAGCCUCACUAAGUAAUUUGUGAGGGGUUCUUGAGGCUUCCCCAUGGGAGAUCGCAAUUGGCUACUCUAGUAGAUUGCUCAUGGCUUGGAGGAUCCCCAUCUUAGAGUGGAUGUGCGGCACCCGCUGAGGGUUGGGCUUUAAAUUUCCAAUUAGCUCGUGAUCCAUCAAGUGGGUGUAUCGCCACAACGGGGACUAGCUUGCCAGGAAGCAAGUGAACCUUAGUAAAAAAUAUUGUGUCAUAUCUUGCCGAGGAUUCUUCCAUGGUAUAAGAAUGACCCUUUCAUAAUGACCCUUUCAUAAUUCGUGUAGCACUUGCCAGGAAGCAUAAACAUUCGAGGUCGAUGGUAUAAGAAUGCCCCUUUCAUAAUGGCCACAGAUGCUUCACAAGUCUUUUUCUUGGAAGAUACACAGUUAGGUCCAUGUUGGCGAGUGCUACAAGAAUUUGGGCACCGACAUAUAUUUGAUGUCAAAGAGUCUGACACAAACCAACCAAUUCAAGAACAGAUAUAGAUGAGAGGUUAGGAGGCAUACCAAGAGGAGCAUAUUUCAGCUGGAGAUGGUGCAGUGGGAGACAUUUGUCCUGAUUUGGAUUUGUUGCACAUGGAUACUGAACCAGGCAGCCCUAUUAGUAGAGACCUACAAGGAGAUGAAAUCCGGCAGUAGAAACACACACCUCGAGGUGAUGUAGCAGAGGAAGGAGAUGAAGAUGAAGAUCAAACCUAUCUUGAGUACCAUAGUCCAGUAGAAGAAGGCAGUACUUCAGGAGGAGACAUGGAUGACGACUGAACUUUGCAUUUCUGCAUAUUUUCAUUGUUAUUGAUGACUAAUCUUUAAGAUAAGGCAAUACUUCAUUUUGUUAUUGCCUUUGUUGUAUUUGUAUUAUGCUACCAGAAUUGUGUUUACGAUUAUGAAAAUGUAAGACCUCAUACGCAAUGAUUAUGUUUUCAGUACUUGAUGUAUGAGUUAUGGUGCUCAGAAUUUUAUCACAUGUUGCAGGUUCAAGUGCUCAGAUUUAUAUCACAGAAUGCAAGUUGCAAUCCCCAGGUUUAUGACACAUCUGUUGGGUAUUUUCAACACAAACAGAAAAAUCCGCAAGCGCACAGAUACCGAUGUAGCUUUCACCUGGGAGUAUUCUAGAGUAUCGAUUUUGCACAGGGAACGUGAGUGUACUAAUUAAGACUCAAGAUCGCCCAAGGAUAACUAUAUAAUUAUUUUUGCUAGGAAGAGAGGAAGUUUCCUGAGAGUUCUCUAGUUGAUCUAAGAAUCAAGAAUUACUUCAAAGAUUAUUUAUUUCGGGACAUCAGAACAAUAACCACAGAAAGAGAUGAGAAGGGGGCUAGGAAGCUCUGACUACGGUCCUACAAACACCGAUACGAACGAGAUGGAAUACGUCGACCGUUAGGGCUGUCACUAACCUAGGGCUACCACAACAAUCCGCAGGAUUGGGUGCAAUUCCAGGUAAUUGCAAGACUAAACACCACGUCUAAUCUAUUAAUUACUACUCUAGCGUUAUAAAGACUAAAGCACUUGAUGCAAGCGGGAAUCCAAUAAAUAACUUGAAUGUAAAUAAAAGUAAUUAAAGAACUCAGGAAUUAUAAAUUGAAGAACUUGGAGAACGAUGAAGAACGAACUAGUUGCUGCAAAAGAAUAAUGUUGAGGAAGAUCCGACAGAUCCGGCUCCUCCUCCGCUCUCCUCUUCUCUCUCCCUAUUUUCUAGAUUACAACUAGAUCUAACUAGAACUAGAACUAGAGGAACUAGAACUAGAACUAGAUGAACUAGAGGGAUCCUCUCUACUUGGAUGAAGAAUUGAAACUCUAGCUUUGAUUUUGUAGAAGAGGUAUGAUCUCCAAGGGCCAGGGAGCCUUGCUUAUAUAGUCUUUUCAAAUGAAUCUGGGCCGUCGGAUCAAACCGACAUCAAUCACACGGUUUUCCUUGAUCCCUUAGGUCGGUGGAGCAUGAUCUGCAAAGUUGAUCGUGAUUGGUGGAAAAAGGUGGGCAGGCGCCCUAAGGAGUAGGGCGGGCGCCCUGUCCCUGAGCCCUCUCAGCUUCCCGUUCGUUCCGGUGGCUUCUGGAGUCUCCUAGAUGAUAGAAAAUUGCGUGGCAUGUUAAUAUCUCUAUGUAAACCCAACGUGUGGGCCUUUCUUCCGUAUUUCCUGAUAACCCCCUGCAGAAAUAGACAAACACCAAAACUCGUGGAAUUCUGUCAGAUAAAACCCUAAGUCUGGGUGUUGGUUGCAUUUGGAUCCUUUUCCAUGAUUAAUUGACGGUUAAAUGUGAGCAUUAAGGACCGUCAACAAGCUCCCCCAAGCUUAACCUUUGCUCGUCCUUGAGCAAAGAUGAACUCAAGAGUUUCUGCAGUGGUUUCAUGCCUUAAAGGUACACAUGCGUUCAAACAAGAUCUCAGCUCUGGGUUAGGGCAAACUGUUAAGAUUUAAACUUACUCAUUUUACCUUCCACCAUGGGGCUUGCAACCAUCACUUAUGUCUUGAGCAGUUAAAAGAUAGAAUGGUCUAGUCAAGCGCCAUGUCUCUUGUUCUUCGAUUAACUAUAGCUCUGGAGUUUUUGCAGAUUUUCAAAUAAAACUCAGAGAUUCCUUGUAUGACUCUCUCUAGUCUCUCUUUUAUGGUAUUUCUGGAUCCUUACCAAGGCAGUAAUGGUGUAUGCCUUCUCUCAAAGUAUGUGGUAUUUUUGGCAUAAAGCAUAGUGACAUUGCCUUAUCUCUCAUCAUACUCUAAUAAGGCUUUUGAUAUCUGGAGCUCAUAGGUGGGAGACAGCUAAUACAUACUUAUAAGACAUUUAUUGCAUAAUCAAACCAUGGAUCCAGAAGAACAAGUCAAUAAGUCAAAUCAACAUGUGCAUGUGUGGCGAAUGAAUGAUGUAUGGUGAUGAUGGUGAUAACAAUGGUGAAAGUCUAAUUCUACUUGUGCUCUUUUGAGGGGAUACAUACAUUUCUUGCUCUUUUGAAACUUUUUGAGGAGAAUGAGAUGCUCUAUAUUUUAUUUUUCUUUUCUCUCAGGUGGGUAUCUUGUACCCCUAAUUCUACUGUCGGACACUUGUCCAUUUUUACAUCUCGUCUCACUUCUUCCUUUCUUUCGAGGUUCCGGGCACUUGCCCCUUUUUAUUUCCUCGUAUCUUCUCUCUCUUUUUUAGAGCACUCAUCUCUUGAAAUAAUGUAGCAAGUGGUAGUAAACGAAAUAACUUGAGCAUUUAUUUCAUAGGGGAAAAUAGAAAUAGGAGAAUGUCUUUGGCUAUUCUCUCCCGGAUUAGGAGUAGAAUAUUUUUGGAUGGUUCUGGAGAUGGAAAUGGGUGGAUAUAUGUGGAUGCGUACUUCCAGAGUAGAAGCAGCAUGUGUGAGUGAACGUGCAAGUGAAUCUUGAUUUUAACCACAUGACAAGCUCCUAAGGGUCUACACAGCUUGACCACACUCAAUGCUCAUAAGCAGUAAAAAGUAGAUGUGUGGCUCAAAGUCUAGCAAGUAUGUAUAUAUGGCUAUGGUAGGAAUUUAAACUCUCAUCAUACAGAAACUCAUCAUGUGAUAUUUUAAAAAAUUUCAAAGAUAAAAUUCUCCAGAAUUCUAGCAUCUCAAGGAACAAAUAAACAGUAGCUCAACCUUCCCAUAUCAUAUCCAUUAACGACUUAGACUUUAGAUCAAGUACUCUUCCCACAAGUUCAGGUUUAGAACAAAUCUUAAUUAAUAACAGUCAUGCCUAAACUUGAGAGAGAUUUCAAUUUUGAGAACUAGUCAUGGCAGAGCAACUAUUCAUCAUUUCCAUGUGAGAGCUUAUCAUGAGGGUUCAUAGCAAACUUUAUUUAUUUAUUUAUUUAUUUAGCAAACUAAGCAAAGAUAUAUAUAAGCACAAAAUCUUUAUUUGGGUUUUUAUGAUUAUGCAUCUUUUUAUUAUUUGAGUAAAAUAUAAACAUGAGUGGAACGCUUAGCUAGAUAAAUGGGGGUGCUCUCCCCCAAGCUGGAUUUUGACGUAAUUUCUUCUGGUGUAGCUAGCAAGUGGCGGAGGUGUAUUUGAAUGUUGGCAGCACCCUGACAGCGAUUAGGAUGUCCUCCGUCUGCUAGUCUUCUUUGAUCCUUGAAUUCUGUGGAGCUCAAAUAGACAACAAAGCUUUGUGAAACUGGUUAAGUGUUAGCAUAAAUAUCUAGCCUUUAUCAUGUUGAGCCUCCUCAAUAAAUGUUACUCUCUUUAGUAGGAUCAUAAAUUUAUUUUUAUAAUUUUAUUUUUAUAGGACAGGAAUAUAUUUAUUUUAUUUUUAUGCCACCACAGUGAAUGUACUUAUGGGUUUUAUGCCAUGAGCAUACUCACAUGGGGCUUACUAUUUUUAAUAUUUUUAUUUUCUUUUCGAGAUGAUAUGAACCUGAUUAACUAAGCAGACUAUUUUAAAUAAUUGAAAGGAAAAGGAUAACUACCAAGUUUACCUCUUGGCCAGGCGUUCGGUGUUUUUAAGUCUUCCGAACAAGACUCUCUGUUUUCUCAGUCGUCCUGAGAUUCGCUGGACGGCGUAGUCGGUGGUUCCGGCGGCGCCUCCUCUUCGUGUAUAACUAUCUUCUCUCUCCAUACCUGACUCGGUGCUACGGUCUCCUCAAGAUAGUUUUGUUCAAGUUGUAUGUCUUCAGACCUUACAACUUCUCCUUCAUAGUCUACCCAUCCGUCCUUGAUGAUUUGUCUCCUCUGGUUGCGGUUGCGUCGUCUUCUUCUUGUCCUAACCUUCUUAGAGUCUUCCGCUAUAUAGUUAGGGUCAGUGAAAUAGCGGCGUACCUUCUCAGAGGGGAAGUUCAUGUGGACUUCUCCGGUUCUAAUGUAGAUGAUUGCUUUAACGGUGCUGAGGAACGGUCUCCUAAGGAUGAUGGGUGGAUCGUACUCGUCUUCAACAUUUCAGAAUGUCUAUGUGCCAUCUGGAGCUGAAUGUAUGUCGGUUUUAUGGGCAUGGUUCCGAACAGGAGCUGAUAGGUGACUGCGGCCAUUAUAUUGACGCCUGACCCGGUGUCGCAAAGCAUCUUCUGGAAGUUGUAUCCAUUAAUAGAGCACUGGAUGCUUGGCAUACUUGGGUCGUCCUUUUUGGUCAGGAACGGUGACUUAAGUCGACGAUCUUGACCUCCUUGAACUGCAGUGAUCAUCUUAGCUGACUCGGUCCACAUUUGCUUGUUCCUGUCCCUCCUGUUGGUCCUCUUGCUUGGUUCAUAUCGAGAUUGCUCUGAGACUUGUGUAGUCUUGUUCUUGAAGGAAAACAUCUCCUUCCUCCCCUUGAUGUAGAAACUGAUCUUGGCAGCACUAGCGUAGAUGACAGCUCCUGAGGUGUUCAGGAAUGGCCUCCCUUGGAUGAUGGGUGCCCUCUCAUCAAUACCAGUCUCUAUCACCACGAAGUCUGCUGGGGCGUACAAGAUACCAACUCGGACGCAGAGGUUCUUCAAUAUUCCCUUUGGGAAACUUAGUGUCUGAUCUGCAAGAUGCAAACACAUGGUUGUUUCUAGGAAAGGAUGUGUAAAGAAUUUUUCAUAGAGUACCCUGAGCAUAAUGUUGACAGUGGAGCCAAAGUCGCAGAGUGCUUUUAGGAAGUCCACCAUGCCGAUGGAGAUCGGGAUGACAGGGCGUCUUGGAUUGUCUCUCUUGACCGGCAGAAGGUCAGUAAUUACUUCCACAACGGGGUUACUCCAGUAGUUACAUCCUCAAGCAUCUCAGGGCAGUGAUUGCCUGAGUGUCCAGUAUCUCCAGUGUGUUUGUGCUCGUAGAUCUAGGUUCUUCACUUAGUGGAGUCUGGGAGUUGUAAAAGUCCUUCAUAUUUCGCUCGAAGUGUACCUGCUCAUAAAGACAAGGCAGAGAUCAAGUGCAUGGGCCCUGUUGGUGGAAAACACCAACAGAACCAAAAGUGUAUUUGCUCUUCUCUAACCUCAAGUAUAGUGAGCAAGACAAAGUUGAUGGAUAAUAAGAUCAUGAGUGUAACAUUUAAAACAUUUGUCAGAUCAGAUCGCUCAAACUAAUGGAAAGAUAAUCUAUCUAUACUUAUGUUAUAUAUAUAUAUAUAUCUUCCAAAGAUUGCGUGUGCAACAUUUUAGUUCAUAUGAUUAGGAGUGUGGGAUCACAAAGGUGGAAGGACUAAACAUAUUGAAUCGACUGGGUUGGUUAAUCUAGAGUUGUAAAUCAUACAUGUUUAUCUCUUUUAUUCAUGUGAACGCCAGAACCAAGGAGAAGCUUAUAGAAGUGAUUGUCAAGUACCUUAAGAUGUUACCUUACUUGAAGAGUGAUGGUACAGUAUCACCUUAUGGAAGCUUUCCUUUCUUAGCGGUUGUGCAUCGUGUUUGUGGUACCCUCCACGGAUCAUCUCUUGUGAGCUAUGCCUUUCUUGUGUAAAUUGUUAACCUUCAUGCGUCUCUCUCUUUGUCUCCAAUGUGAGUUUAUCUCAGGACUUCCCAGGUCGAUAUUGAAAUUUUUCCUGCAGGGGUUAGUCCAACAAAAUAUCCAAUAUCUACUAUAGCAUACUAUCGGCUCAAAAAUCAACCUAGACACCAUGUCUAAUUUGAUUUAGGAGGGCAUUUUAACCUAAGCACCAUGCUUAAUUUAAAAUCCUUUGGAAGUAAGAUCAUCAUUCCUAAACUAAGCACCAUGCUUAAUUAAGAGAUAAAUGAAACUACUCCAAACCUAGACAUAUACUAAAGCAAAUAAAGGUAGCAUGAGAGCAUUUAUAGAGUUCUACUCAAGUGGAGAUGAAGUAGUGUGAUUAGUAUUUAACAAAUUGAGCAUGUCUCAAAGGUAGGGACAACCAACGUAGCAACAUGGCAAAUGAUGUUUCUAUGUAAAGUACUCCCCCAAGCUUGAAUUUUGCAAAAUUCAAGUUUGGAUGAAUUUAAUUCAAUGUUGUAUGAUGAUUGGUUGGACAUACCUUGUGCUUGUCAUUCAUUCGAUCUUCUUGCUCCAAUCUUGGAAAGGUUAGUGACAAGAAUACCCGAAGAAUUUUUUUUACAAUUAUCCUUAUAUGCUCAAUACACAAGGUAAUAUUGCAAAUAAUUAAAAGCUCAUGUUAUGAUCUGAUCAGUGCUUAUUUUAGGACACUAAGCUUGUCCUUGGGAAACCAUCAAUUUAUGUCGGCGAAGUGGUUUCCCCUUCAACGCUGACCUAUAUCAAGAUCAACUCAACGAGAUCUGCAAUAUUUAUUAUAGACAUAUGUAUCGACAACUGCCCUUUUAAACUUUUUAUAAAUAGAAAGGAUGAGGGGGUUGGAGAUCUCGAAUGUGGUGAUGUUGGAGAGACCAAAAGAUUGGGAAGAUGUUGCAUAUGAGCAUGGAGUAAAUGAAGUGGCUAUGAAUUAAAUUCCAUGCUCAUUAAUGCAUAGAGUGAAAUCCAUGUGGUGUGGUGAAAAUGGUAAUUUAAGGUGAGUGUGGUAAAAAAAGGAAAAGAAAAAAGAUACACGGACGACUUGGUUUGAAACUAGCACAGCUACCUUCCCCGGCAACGGCGCCAGAAAGCUUGUUGGGUAUUUUAAACGCAAACAGAAAAAUCCGCAAGCGCACGGAUACGAUGUAGCUUUCACCCGAGAGUAUUCCAGAGUAUCGAUUUUCCAUAGGGAACGUGAGUGUACUAAUUAAGAUUCAAGAUCGCCCAAGGAUAACUAUAUAAUUAUUUUUGGUGGGAAGAGAGGAAGUUUCCUGAGAGUUCUCUAGUUGAUCUAAGAAUCAAGAAUUACUUCAAAGAUUAUUUAUUUCGGGACAUCAGAACACUAACCACAGAAAGAGAUGAGAAGGGGGCUAGGAAGCUCUGACUACGGUCCUACAAACACCGAUCCUAACGAGGUGGAAUACGUCAACUGUUAGGGCUGUCACUACCCUAGAGCUACCACAACAAUCCGCAGGAUUGGGUGCAAUUCCAGGUAAUUGCAAGACUAAACACCACGUCUAAUCUAUUAAUUACUACUCUAGCGUUAUAAAGACUAAAGCACUUGAUGCAAGCGGGAAUCCAAUAAAUAACUUGAAUGUAAAUAAAAGUAAUUAAAGAACUCAGGAAUUAUGAAUUGAAGAACUUAGAGAACGAUGAAGAACGAACCAGUUGCUGCAAAAGAAUAAUGUUGAGGAAGAUCCGACAGAUUUGGCUCCUCCUCCGCUCUCCUCUCCUCUCUCCCUAUUUUCUAGAUUACAAUUAGAUCUAACUAGAACUAGAACUAGAUGAACUAGAGGGAUCCUCUCUACUUGGAUGAAGAAUUGAAACCCUAGCUUUGAUUUUGUAGAAGAGGUAUGAUCUCCAGGGGCCAGGGGGCCUUGCUUAUAUAGUCUUUUCAGAUGAAUCUGGGCCGUCGGAUCAAACCGACAUCAAUCACACGGUUUUCUUUGAUCCCUUAGGUCGGUGGAGCACGAUCCGCAAAGUUGAUCGUGAUUGGUGGAAAAAGGUGGGCGGGCGCCCUAAGGAGUAGGGCGGGCGCCCUGUCCCUGAGCCCUCUCGGCUUCCCGUUCGUUCCCGUGGCUUCUAGAGUCUUCUAGAUGAUAGAAAAUUGUGUGGCACGUUAAUAUCUCUAUGUAAACCCGACGUGUGGGCCUUUCUUCCGUAUUUCCUGAUACCCCCCUGCAGAAAUAGACAAACACCAAAACUCGUGGAAUUCUGUCAGAUAAAACCCUAAGUCUGGGUGUUGGUUGCAUUUGGAUCCUUUUCCAUGAUUAAUUGACGGUUAAAUGUGAGCAUUAAGGACCGUCAACAACGUCAUAAUGUCAUAUAAUGCCCAAAUUUUGUCAUGGAAUGUACUGAAACCGUCACAAAAUGUAUAUGCUGAAAGUAGCUAUACCAAACAUUCAUCAAACACAAGUAAAUCACCAUAAUGACACAGGACAAUAUCAUGAAAUGCAAAUAAUUUGUCAUGCAAUGUAGAAAUUUUGUCACAAAAUGUACUGGCCAGAAAAAACUUCCUAGAUUUCUCUAUUAUCAUGACCAAAGACAAUGUCAUUAAAAGUACACAAGCUAUCACAAAAGAUACAUGCACACAACAGAUGUCCAAGGGGACAAAGGCCCAUAGUUCAUAACAAAGACAAAUCUAGCAUAAUAAGUUCAUUACAUCAUUUUCACCAACACCCUGCUUCAUCAGCCUUGCCUACUUGAACACUACAGCUAGCACCAAACAGAUGCCCAACACCUUCAUCAGCCUUGCCUACUUGAACACUACAGCUAGCACCAAACAGAUGCCCAACACCUUCAUUAGCCUUGCCUACUUGAACACUACAGCUACAACCAAUAAAAUGGCCAACAGUAGAAACAGUGUUACAUUCACACAUCCACAGACUAGACAAAUGCAGCUUGCCAUGCCAUCCUUGUUCUUCACUACCACUUCAUUCAGCUUGUUCAGGCUUUGGGUGAAGCUUUCAAUUUUGCCUACGUCCUUGGCAACUUUUGUCGUCCUCGCAGCUGAUUGUAUAUAUCCAUUAUCCUCUAGAUAGAGCACAUAUUCUUCCUCAAACCAAUAGCUAGAACAUGUCCCCUGCACCACAUUGCAAAUCAAUUAAAUUUGGUCAACGAAGAUAAAAAAUUGGGGUCCAAAAAACUGUCACAGCCAACAACACUCACAUAGCUUUGCCUAGCACACUUGAAGUAUCUUUUUCCACGGUUAACCUCAGAUUUCAUGGUAGUGGCAGCAAACACCCUCCUAUCCUUACAUUCAGGGCACUUUAUCAAUGGCAACUUCAACACUUCAUCAAUUGGUGCCUCCGGAUCGACAGUUCCAGACAUGUCAGGUGGUGAUGUCCGCCGAGUGCGAGCAGUACAUGAUGACACCUGAGACAUGAGGCCUGAUUGAGAGACAUGGGCUCAUUAGGUCAUCGACAAACAUUUCCUCAUGAAAAGCAUGGACAAUUUAUCAUUGCCAUUGGAAAUAAUCUUAGAAUAGCUACAACAUGAACAACAGUAGCAGCACUAGCUUGGACUUGAGCUCAGGUAAAUUAAUUAGAAGAACAACUACUAAUAAUCAUUCAAUCUACAUGAAUUCUCUGGGUUGUUGGACACUCCUAGCUGCGCUUGAACACCGAUUGAGACCGGUAGAUGAUGAGGCCUGAGACAUUAUCACUAAAUAAAAUGGAUAUUAAUUAGGCAUAGCAUUAAGCAUAGCAUUACACAUCAAUUAGGGAAGAUAACUCUGUGAAACAAAACAAGUUGGGGGAGAUGAGCAGAGGGGGGACGCGGAGGGGAUGAGGGUGCAUCGAAGGUGUCCGGGAGGGGGAAGAGGGUGGGUGGCACCUGGGGAGAAGGCCAGAGCCUAGCGCGCCUAGGAUUGGAGAGAGGGAUAUACCUGCCUCCACCGGUGCCUUGGUCCCCGCUGAAAUCACCGAGAUGCCGCCCUAGACUCCACCCACCAGCGCCCAAACGCCGCCACGUUGUCGACGGGGAAGAGGGAUAGGGGACCCGCCGCACCGUCCUCCACCCUUCGCCGUCGGCCCCUCGCUCCGUGCUCACCGCCCUCCGCCACGCCCGCGACGACCUCGCCUCCCUCCCUCAAUUCAGUUGACGCCGGGAAGAUGGGGAAAGUGAAGUGGUCAACGUAUAUGGAUAGGGUCCACCUACAAGGAGUAUAUUUACUCUGUGAAUGGUCAUUUUUGGAACUUACUUAUUGUGACACAAUUUAAACAUCACAUAAAGUCACACCAUAGUGUCAUAAAAGGACAAACGACGACAGGUGCCCCGUGUUUGGCAAUUUGUGACAAACCUGUUGACCUUUAUGUGACACAUUAGAUACCAUCGUCACAAAUACAUCUAGGUCUCACAACUUUGUGACGACACAAAAAAUAUCGUCAUAUAAAGCCACAUUAUGUGACAAAAACUACCCCCGCCAUAAGCUAUUUUGUCACAAAAAGAUAGAUUUCUUGUAGUGCUUGUGCUUGUGAUUGUGAUUGUAAGUGAUUGAUUGGUCAUAUUCCUACUCUACAACGUUGGUAUAACAAUCACUCCCCACUCCUUUACUUACUUGCAUACCUUGCUAGAUGUUUAGCUUGUUUAGCUUAGCCUUCUUGUUUAGGAGUGUAGAUAGUUUUAGUUGUGCUUUCUUGUUGUGACUUAGUGUUUAGCUUUCUUGCUAGAAUUGUGUAGGUGGCUUGCAUAGUUUAGUUGUGCUAGUGCUAGAAUAGCUUCGCCAUUUAUUUUACUAACACACUUGCUUAGUGAAGUUUGUAGAAAAUUUAAAUAGGCUAUUCACCCCCCCUCAAGCCAUUUGGACCUUUCACAUGAACCUUAGUUCAUUUGGGGAUUGAAGGAUAACCAUUUUUAGGAGGAAGGCUAGGCAAAGUCAGCAUGGAGGGAGACUAGAAUAUUUGGGAGAAUUGGAUUUGGGGCAAGGUUUUACCCCUCUGCGCCCAGUUGUUAAAGAAGGCGAAUUGGGAAAUUGAAUUGUCUUGUCAUUGCUUAGCCUCAACAAGAGCUAGUACAUGGAUAUAUAUAGGCAUUUGACCUGCUAAAUAAAGAGACUCCAUAACUCCCUAUAAAUCCUCUAAUUAUUGCCUUCUUGCAUGUUGGUUAGCAUGCAACUCCUUGGUUGCUGUUGGCGCCGUCUGGGCACUGCCUUUCCUACAUGCUGAUCCGCUCCUUGUUGAUCCUUUGUUGACCAAAUUUUGUUGGAUAAUUGCGCCCGCUAUGGACACCAUGUAGGUGGUCACCAUGCAAACCCCGCUGUCCACACAAUGUGUUGUAGACUUGAAGUGCCAAAUUAAUUUAGAUAUGUCAAACUAAAGGUCUAAUCAUGUAGAGGUAGUUGAAAACUCCAUCUAAAUUGGCUUAUAACUCAUAUACCAAAUCCCACAUUGAAGGAUCUGAUAUAGUUGCGGCAAUUACUAUCUUCGAGAUACAAGGUAGAAAUAAUGAUAAGGAAUGAAUCUAAUUGAUUAUGAGGCCCUAGAUAAGACCCUAGAUUAAAAAGCGACCCAAAAGAUUCCACCAGACGUGCUAAUCUUAUCCAUCAAUCCAAAAAUUGAAGCAUAUGAGAGUAGUGCUAAAGGAAGGGAUUGAAUGAACCUGCAGAUGGAUUGAGAGCUUCUAGAAAAGCUUGGAUGCGUCGGGUGUUGGCUCUGAUGACCAAAAUCGGAGGCUCAGGUGUUUCCAUCAAGGUCUAUACUGCACCACAACAAGUCUUGCUCCACUUCGGGGCUAAUAGAGAAAGAUGCCCGAGCUUCUCAUAGUUCCCACACUUUCUUAACCACUAGUGCCACCUCUAUCUCAACGGCCCGAGCACUGCUGCUGCACUUGCCAUUGCCUCGCUUGCCACUAUCGUGCUCGCGUAGCAUGUGCGACACCACCGCUAGCUACUUUUUGGGGUUUCAAUGGGUUCCAAUGUUCUUUAAGUGUGACUGGAUAUGGCUCUCGAAGGUUAUGCUAAUGCAUGUUGGUUUUUCCUAGGCUGGUAACGGGCCAACAACUAGUUUUAUUAAACCAUUGAACAGACUAAUUAACACAUGCUAAAAUGGAUUCUAACUUAAUAAAAUGCACUUUCUUUGUUUUCAAACAAGUUUUAAAAAAUUUCUUACAGUAUCGUAAGAGUUUCCAAAACUCGCUCUCAAUCUUGAUUUUUUAGUAGGAUUAAAAAAAGUCUCUCUUCUUAUCCUAACUUCCAAUCUUUUUUUAGGCAAUUGAUUGAGACGCGUGAAAAGAUAAAUGUGCGGGUGACUUGAAAUUUGCAUUAAUGCGACUUCUCCUAACUUUUUUUUCGCACCAAGAAAUAAGUUGCCACUCCCAUCUCUUCCUACCAUCCCCUAGGGAUUCAUCAUCACUACCUCCACCGCCAAGAAGGUAAAAUCAGUCAUUUUGCAUAGCCUCUAUUUUGCAUGCCCUAGCCAAAGUCUAGAGGUCUUUAACCAACCCAUCCACUAAUGCUUGGUUGUUGCUGUUUUUUAGUACAUUGUGCCAAGCUGUGGGCAACUAUAGUUGCGUAGGGAUGGCUGCAGCGGCUGAGGAUGGCUGUUGGCCACUUGUUGCCGGCUAGGGCGUGCCUAAAGGUGGUCAGGAGGCGGUGAGGUUGUGGGCAACAUGUACAAUCUAUGUAGAAAGAAGAUCAAGUUGCACCUAACAAACCUUUAUAUGUGAUCUUUUCUAAUUUUUUUAAUGAGAUUUAAAAAACAGUUAGAAUUUAACAGAUAUGUUGACAACUCUUUUUAGCGACUUAAAAACUUAUUGAUUUACGAUUUUUUUUAUAUUAUUAAAGAUUUGCUAACAUCUUCCUACUUGUUAUCACCACCAUGUAAACCUAAAAGUCCUAAAAAAUCUUAGAGCUCAUAUAAUGUACAUAGAAGAUGUGCACUAUAUAAUUUGUUAAGGACGUGACACGACUAAAAUUUUAGCUGAAUUUUAGUUUUUUAUGUGACAAUUAUGACAAAUAUUUUAUAUUAAAAUUAUCGUUUUAGUUGUUGCAAUUUAUAUAGUCAUAAUUUAUCAAUUUUCAAAGCCAUUCAGUAAAAUCAUAAAUACAACAAACCCUUAUCUGUGUUAACACAAAGAUAAUUAAUAAUUUACUAUUAUAUUAGAUACAAGACAACUAAUAAAUCAAGGAAAUAACAAUUUAAUUACUUUAAUUGAUUUUAUAAGAGUGUUACUAAAAAUUAUCUUAAAAUUCAGACAACCAAAAUAUUACUCUCUACAUCUUAAAUUAUAAGUUAUGCUAAGAAUCUUAUAGAGUCUAAACAUCUUAGGUUUGACUAAAAUUAUAGAAAUAGUUAUAAAGAUUUAUGAAAUCAAAUAAAUAUACUAUGAAAAUAUAAUUAAUGAAGAUGGAGUGAGUAUAAGAGAAAUGAUAAAAUAUUUGGAAGGAAAAAAAAAGAAAGGAAAAGGGUGCAGGCUUUUGAUUUGCUUCGGUCUCCUAUUUAUAGCCAACUGCCCCGAAAGCGAUCUCGUCUCGACUCAUCUCAUUUUUUUCUCAUUUCGCCCCCUCCACUGUUUCAAUAAUAAUAAAAGGAUUCUCGAUUCGAUUUCCUCGCCAAUUUUUCCGGUGAGCGGCGGCGAUCGGCUUCGGAUCGGCGCAGCGGAGAUGGUUGCCGUGGCGGCGGAGGUCGCGAUCCGCGGUGCGGACGCCGUGCCGGCGGCGGAGAGGGAAGCGGUGAGGGCGGCGGCUGCGGAGGCGGCGGCGAAGGGCGGUGAGGGGGAAUCGGGGAAGGAGGAGGUGAGGUACUAUGCGAGCGACAUUAGGAAGCUGGAGGAGCUGUUUUCGAAGCUGAACCCCUCGGCGGAGGAGUUCGUGCCGCCGUCGCGCCGCCGCGUGGACGGCGGCGCUCGUCGCCUCUCGGCCGACGCGCCCGUGUUCGUGUCGCCGGCGAUCGACUACUACGCGCGCCACCACCAGCUCCCGCCGCCGCCGCUGCAGCAGCAGCAGCCGAUGCACGUGCUUCAGUUUGUGGGUGGCGUCGGCGGGGGUGGCAUGGGUGGCGGCGGGGGGAGGGACUCAAGCAGCGAUGGAUCCGUCAAUGGUCAGCCGAAUCGACGGGUAAUCAUUGAAUUGCCGAGUCCGAUUCGUUGCGGAUUGUCUCCGGGUAGGGGUUUGCAGUGGGCUGUUUCUGGGUCGAUCGAUCGGUCGGCUUUGGACUUCUUUGUGAUGUUGAUGGCUUUGGAUUUUUGGUCACUCUCGCGCCAUCGCUUGGGGGAGCUGAUCUUUUGGGAGGGUUUUAGGUCUAGAUUGGUUGCAAUAUAAAAUUCAAUCCAUCUGCCAGGAUCAAUUGAUACUGAUACUCUAUGAUACAUGGGAUGUUUAAAAGAUUCUUAUCAGCUGAUUACUUCCUGAUCUCCUGCCAAUGAAUUUUCUGUCAUUGGAUUUUUCCUUAUGGUUUCUUUCUCCGUUAUAUUCUCCCAACAUAUUAUUCGCCAGUGCUAUGAGUUGGGUAAUACAAUUGGAGUACUUUCUUGAGAAUAAUCAGCUGCAUUUGGUCUGUGUUUACAGAGAAGGAAUGGUUUCAUCCAGGGGAGGAGAAGGAUGAUGGGUGGCCGGCCUCGUCGAUCUGACAGGGAGGAUAGUGUGCGGCGGACAGUCUAUGUCUCUGACAUUGAUCAGCAUGUAAAUUCUUGAGAAUGAGCUAUCGUGUUUGGGUAUAUUUAGUUUUAUUUUUUUUCUUGAUCUGUUGAUCCCUUUGAUUUGCAGGUAACUGAACAGAAACUUGCUGAAGUUUUUUCAACCUGUGGACAGGUGUGUUCUAAGGUUCCUGAUAUUCAAUCUAGUUGCGAUCAUAUGAUUUUUAUUCGUCUAUAUUCUGAACACCACAAAUAAUGAAAUAUGAACAUCCUACCAUUUUUCUUACAUGUGCUUAGCUCAUUUGUAAGUUGUAUCUACUCUGUAAGCAUGUCUGGUGGGUGCUCAUGGUUAUGUGUGUGCUGGUUGGUCUUUGGCCCUUUGGACUUUAUGUUGAUUGCAUCCGAUGUUUGUAUUUUUUAGUAUCUGGUUUUGUGCUAGGAUGUAUGAACUUGUUAACAAGUUGGAUAUGACUGUAGUUUUGUUGAUCCUGAGUAAUGAAAUUUCGGUUCCCUCAGUAUGGGGGAAAACUGAUCACAACAUUUGUCUUUUGGGCUUAAAGAUUGCAGGGGGCACACUUAUUAUCUGGAAGUUUCAAAUACAUGGACAUUCUGUACCUUGUUAGAAUACUGGCACCUUUGCAUUAUAAAUAAGCUAUCAUGUGUACAAUUGAAAUCUUAGUCUGUAAUUUGUAGGAUAGGUGAACAAAGAACGAAUUUGCAAUAUAAUCUGUACACAUAUUUUCAAUUUUGAACUUAAUUAGGUGUCAUCUGGUCAUCUGGACUUAUAAUUCAGUUAAUUGCACACAAAAAAAUUAAAUCAGUUACUUGUUAUUUGUAACGGAUUCCCAUAAUUUUUAGGUUUGCCAUGUUUUCUUGAAUAGAUGCUAGCCAAAGGAUAAUGUCUCUUGCAGAAUUAAGAUCAACAUGGUCUAACCUUUUGAAUCAAUCAAAUACUUAAUGCUUUUCAUGGAAUUGCAGAUUUGUGCUUCUGGUAUACUUUUGUCAAGAAAGCAGGCAUCUAUUUUUUAUUCAUCUGAGAAAGUAGAAACCAAAAAUUCUCUCUUGGGUAACCAAUGGCCACUGAGCUUGUAAAUCCUGUGCGUAAUCAGCCCAUGAAAUGAUGAUGGUGAGGUCUCCUUGAGUGCUCAUGUAGACCAUAGUCUUUAGGCACGUUGUUUGCCCCCUUGCGCUCCCUGUGCUCAAAUCUAUUUGAUCCAACCAGGCAGCAACGCCUCCAGAUACUGAAGCUGCAGGUCCAGCCAAGCCAUUUUCCCGGGUUUUCUGUUUCAUUUGUUAUGCUUGGGUGUUGAGUUUUUUACCUGUGUGGCCACAUGGUCCUCCUGAUUGCCUGGUAUACUCCCUCCUUGUCUAGAAAGCAUCAAGUUGGUACACUAAUCAUCUACCUAAGAUUGGUUAGAAAUAUUAAGGAAAGAUGGAAGUUUGAGUUCAGAUUGAUAAGCAUGAAUGGUUCUUCCUUAGUCAAAAAAAGAAGAAUGAUUCUUCCUUUGGCAUUUCAAAAGGGACAGUGACAUCAAAUUGGGGUAUAUGGAUUAUAUUAUUUCACGAAACAUGAGUACUACCCAUAUGGAGAGUUAAAUCCAUAUAAUGUAAACAGGUAGCUUAAACAUGGUCGUUUCACUGCACGCUGUCCACUGCAGUUUCAAAAUGCUUCAUAAUGUGGGCAAUGUUCACUGCACCCUGUCCACUGCAGUUUCAAAAUGCUUCAUAAUGUGGGCAAUGUUGUGUGGUUACAUUUUAUCUCUCUAUGUUUGACUUGUUAUGACACAUCUUUUUCACAUGUAGGUGGUAGAUUGCCGUAUCUGUGGUGAUCCUAACUCAGUGCUCCGUUUUGCUUUUAUCGAGUUUGCUGAUGAUGGUAGUAGCUUUUGACACGCCAAUUGUUAUUUGAUAGUCUUAUGUCGGUGUAAGAAACAUUCCUUAAUGAAGCUGCUUUUUCUGCAGUUGGUGCACAAGCUGCACUAGCACUUGGUGGAACCGUGCUUGGCUUUUAUCCUGUCAAGGUUCUGCCAUCAAAGACCGCAAUUUUGCCUGUGAAUCCUAAAUUUCUUCCUCGAGUAAGUAGACAAAUAAAUUUACAUUAUCUGUUAAUCUUAAAUCUCUGUAAUAAAUGCAUUAUUUUUAUUUUCCUGCAGACUGAGGAUGAAAAAGAAAUGGUAUCCAGGACUGUGUAUUGUACUAACAUUGACAAGAAGGUAUGCUUUGUGCUAUAUCAUUUCUGUUUCCCUUUUAUUAUGGUAAUGUUAAUUGGUGAAAUGUGAAAAUAAAAGUCAUUCCAAAUGAUAAGGUCUCCUUUUGGGGCCUUCUAUUUUUUUUUUCUGCUCAAAUGCUAUAUAUAAUUAUUGUACUACAACUUAAGGCAGAUAUGUUUACAUAGAAACCAAGUUUUUUUUGGGUGUGUGCAAGGGUUCUUGCCCCUUUUCUCCUACAACUAAAAAGACUAAAGAAUGGACAAUUUUUGGUGCAACAAUCGACUUUGGUUCGUCCGUCUGCCGUGCGAUACCUUCCCCGCGCACUCCCUCGCUCCCCCAUGCGCGGUGGGCCUGGUCUUGCACAGUCCCCACGGAAUCCCCCUCUCUCAUGCGCCGCUCGUGGAGUCCUCGUCUCCCCUGACCCGCGCCGACUCCUCUUCUCCCCCACACGCUGAUGGAUUCCUCUCCGCCAUGCACCGAUGGCCACUAGGUCGCGCACGUCUAGGGCGAACACCCAGCCUGAUCCGACCACUGUGGCGAUGACGCACGCAGCCGAGCGCGACGCCACCACCUUGUCCCUGUCGCCGUCCCCGUCCCUCUCCACGCCGGCCCCUCACACCCUACGCCAGCUGGAUCCUCCGUCCACCCGCCGUGGCGCCGCGGCUCGACCGGUCGAGCGGAGCGGAGAUCCAUCCAUCCGGCCGUCGGUCGGUCUCGUCAUCUGUUAUUGGUGAGUGCCUUCUAGCUGCCUCGUUUGCCUGGAUAGAUAGAUUCUCGUUCAGAUUGUAGUUGAAUCCAAUCUCCCUAUUUUUUCUCCCUUCAUUGGUUCACAAUUCUAAUUACUUUCUGCUAUUGCACUAAGUCAGGAUCCUGCCUCGUAGAAAAAACAGUGGCUCCUAGAACUCUGGAUUUGCUGCAGCGUUACCAGAUCCAUCAUACUAUAGUAUUAGGCUACAAUACUUGCACAUGUAUCUUCUGAAAAAGGACGUAGACAUUGCUUUGAGAAUUAACGAAUUUGACAUUGCUUAAUCUAAUAAAGGUGACUAUGUUCUAAUGAAUAAUUUUUCUAAUUAUCUAAUAUACUGUUUUCUUACGAAACUGUCCUCAUAAUUUGUUUGGUAAAAAUUCGAUAAGUAGACUGACAUUAUCGUGCAAUCGGUGUGUCCAACUAAUAAUUUGUUUUUUUAUUAAAUUUCAUUUUAACACUAGUAUUUAAUUAUACAGUAUUGUUAUCGUGCAAUCGGUGUGUUUUUAAUAUAAAAGUUUAGUUGUCCCGUAGCAACGCACGGGCACGCUACCUAGUCUCUUCUUAAUAUAAAGGAGAAAAAAUUGUACUACAACUUAUUUUUGUGUGUAGAUUGGAGAAGAUGAAGUGAAGCAAUUCUUCGAGGGAACAUGUGGUGAAGUAUGUGAUCUCUAUGCUCUUAUUGUAGGCAUGUGUUCUUUUACAUGACUGAGUAUAAUAAUAAUCUAGAUACAUAAUUAUCUUCCUUUUCCUUUAGGUUUCUCGUCUGAGGCUACUUGGUGAUUAUGUGCACUCCACAUGCAUUGCCUUUGUUGAGUUUGUCCAAGUAAGUAAAAAUGGAACUUCAAAAUUUAAUAUAGUCUCAAAUAAAUCAAUUUCUAUAUCAGAGAUAAUGCCAAACACAGUAAAUGAACAACACAAACACUUUUUUAUGUAAACAUUCCCUGUUGGAAAGGUGAGAAAUGCAAUAUUUUGUUUGUAAAAUCGGCUAAUUGGCGAUUGCUUUCAUGCUUCAUAGCAAUUUCGUCAUUGAACUUAGCUUUUCCAUCCUUCCACAUCGUAUUUCCUUCAGACUGAUGAUUCACUCUCAAAUGCUUAGUAUUUACCUGAUUCAUAUUUGGAUCAUUUAUUUGCAUUGCAUCUGACAUCAUUGAUUAAGCAAUAAGCAAUAGUUAUCUUAUUAACUGAGGGCUAUUAGCAGUCAUUUGAAUUUUUCAUUUCUGUUUUGGGUGGCAAGUUUCAAGAGUUUCUACUGUAUUAGAAAGCUUCUUGUACAUUAUUAUCAUGUAGAACUGAUGUCAAGCUGUAAGGACUUUUUGUUUCCUAACAGACAAAGUAAGGUCAAUUACUGAUUCACACCACAAGCAAUCGUAGCUGUAUCCACCGACACCUUUCUCCUGGCUUCAUCUGCAUCUCAUCUUCCUACUGCUUUUAUUCUAUGUCAGCUGCCAGUCUUCUAGAAACUUGUUACUCCCUCUUACAAAUUUGUCCAUGGCUUCAGGGAUAUAUGUUCCAGAAGAUUUCUCCAUUGAGAUCAAGACUAUAGUUAUAUCUAUGUUUUCAUUAUCUAACUCUAAUCUAAUAAAAUGCUUUGAAAGAAGUUAAGUACUUCUGUCAUAUUAUUCGUUAGGGAUAUAGAUGGUCAUUUUACUUCAAUAUUUUUCUUUCUGGAAAUGGCACAUCCUUGGUGGCUAUGGAUGAGUAUUGUAGAACAGAGGGAUUAUUUUACAUCCUCUUACACGGCACACAUAACCAUAUGUGUUCACGUUACUUGGAUCAUUUAUGCUUCUCAGUCUUGAGUCCUAAUUGUUAUAACAUAGAUACUUCAAAUGACAAUGUCAUUUUUUGGGCGUAGUUUCGGGUUUUUGAAAACAUACUGAUAUAAUACAUGCGCCUGUAAGGUCAGCAAGUUGUGGGCAAUUUUGUGGUUUAUGUUGGGCGACGACCUGUCAGCAGCAAACAAGCACCCAGUAACCUUGAACUUUCAAGUAUGAAACUUAUAAGAACAUACUUUCAACUGAAACAUUUGUGUUUUAGCGAAUUUCGGUCACCAUGUCGCAAAGCAAUUAACUUCCAAGUAGUACCGAAACAAACUUGGGCUUCAUUAAUGUUUAUGAUAUCUGUAGUGAUCCAAAAUGGAGCUGUCAGUUACUUCGCAUGCAGAGAAUAGAAAUGUAUACCUGUAUAUGUAAUGUAAUUUUAACAUGUCAUAUCCUGAAGUUAAAUAAUACAUGCAGUUCGACUGGUUACUCAAUGAGUCAUAUCUCAACCAGUUGUCUGUGAAUGGUGUCUCCACAAAGUAUUUAUUAAAAUUGUUAAACUGCAUGCAUCCAAAAGCACCCUUUAUAUUUUAGUGUCCCCUGAGGUGCACAAGCACAACACUAGUCAGGCAGCUCUGCCUAAUCUAGCAAUCUCCAAUAGGUGAUCAGGCAGGCGGCAGGCCUGGCCUUAUCUGGUAAUGUUGUGUACUUGUGUUGACUAGGAAUUAUCUGCUGACACCUUGGGCAAUUAAUUCCUUAUUGAAGUAAUAGUUUCAUUAGAUAAACACAAUUUAUCUCAAUGACUUUUUCUGACAAGAGUUUCUUUCUUUGACACCUGCAUCUGCAUUUCUCUCGGCUUCUAGCACCACUUCUAUUUUUGUUUCCUUUUAAUGAUAUGAAACCAAUAUCUUUGAAUUGAUGAAAUGUUUAGUUGCCUGACGAUUUGUUCCUUUUUAGAGCUUGACCAUUUAAAAUUCUGUUUAUGCAGGCAGAUAGUGCUAUUCUUGCUCUGAACUGCAGUGGCAUUGUUCUUGGAACGCUUCCUGUUAGGCAAGAACAUAUUUUCUGCAUGUGUUCGAAAGUUCUGACUAUGGUAAAGGUGUCUGUUGCCCAUUUUUUGCUUACCCUACUCUGUACCGUUGAUUUUUGCAGGGUGAGCCCAUCAAAGACACCAGUCCGCCCUCGAUCGCCCCGUGUGACGUCAUACUGAGUUCGGCUCAUCUGAAGCCGUCGUCCAGGGCAGCAAAUUUCUGGGCAGCAAAGCCUUAGUCGUGUGGCCUUAGAGACUGUCGUUUCGCGGAUCAGUAAUUGUUGUUGAGCAGAGUUCUCGUUGGUUAAAAUCUAGUCUAGUAGAAGGCCCCUCAGCUGAUGUUUCUCGGAUCAGAGACCCACCAUCUGUAUGGUCGCUGAUGGGAGAUCUAUUUUGACCUCCUUUUUUUUUGGUCUUUGUUAUCAUGGUUGGAUUCUAUGACAGCCUUGACAGUCAUUCGAACAAUAAUGUCUAUGGCUUCUCUUAUCCGCUUUCGUCUUUAAGCAUGUUUUCCCAAUGACUGUUGUGCACAAAUGCUGUUACUGCUCCGAGGCGGAACUGUCUCAGGAGUCAGGAUAGGCCUGAGGCACUCGCCCUGUAACAGCAUUUCUAAUAUAUGCAUAAUCUUUGAUUUAGAGGGAAGUCGGUGUAUAUAGUCCAUGAUUAGUGGUGCAAUUAUUAUAGAUAUAAACGUUAUUUCCGUGUGGAAGUGGGAGGUGCUUUCCUUAUUUGUUUCGUUAGAUCUGGAAGACGGACGACCACUUCUCUUUUACCAUCUCGUGGUUCGCAUCUUUGAUACUAACAAGUACUGUUAAAAUUGAGCGCGUUGAGCAAGCUUGCGCGUUGAGCUAUAAUUAAUUUAACAAUACUCGAAUUUUGCACUUAAGAUCGUAAUUGGCUAAUUGGAUAUUUGCGAUCAGAUGGGAAUAACCAAGCUUUAUUUUCCAAUGAGGCUUUGUUUGUAGGAUGCCUUGUUUGUGUUGAAAUAUAAAAUGGUUUGCUCACUUUUCAUUUCAUUUUAAAUUUUUGUUUUUGGUUAAACUAAUCUGUGCAUGUAACUUGAUAUACUACUUGAUACAGAUGUUUUGAGUUCGAAUUUUAGCUAGCAUAAUUAAAUAUAGUUGUUGGUCGUCUCUAUUUUACAACUAUGAUCUUAUGGAGCCUCCACGUAAGAUGAAGUAUGAUCUUAUGAAGUUAAUGUUCAUUUUUUGUACCCGCUUAAAUUUUUUCAUCAUAUUGACCGGUGAUUAAAACCUUUCUUUAAUUAAUUUUGCAGACCAUAAUAUUUCGUUUGAACGGAUCAAAUAGAGAGACCGGUUGCCGCACCAUUUAAUGCCCGUUCGUUUAAAUUACCGAAUGUACUAGUCAUUAUUCUUCUAUCGUAACAAAUCAGUUAGAUAUAAUUUUUUAAAAAAAUUUUAACACUGUAGCAUUUUCAUUUUUAUUUGACAAACAUUAUCCAAUCAUGGAGUAACUAGGCUUAAAAGAUUCGUAUCAUUAUUUACCCGUACACUGUGCAAUUAGUUACGUAAGAUUCGAUGUGACGGUGAAUCUUAUAAAGUUUUGGGUUUUUGACCUAAAUAUGCUUUUUGAACGAGCUGAGGCCGGUUGCAAACUCUAGCAGCGGAAAAAAGAAAACUCUGCACCUUCGGUAGCUCGGAGAAGCGUCACCUACUCCGCUUUCUGAGCAACAAUCGUGAUUAGACGAUCCGUAGUGUACCUACCUAUAUACAGAAAGCAAAGGAACAGAAGCACGCGGACCGUGGCGCUGUCACCUUGCGUCACGCGGCACCAGCCACAGGCCACAGCGACCCCAUCGACAUCCAUCGAUCACCCAUGGCCUCCUCGCUCCGCCAUUUCGCCGGCCUCGGCUGUUUCCCCGCCGUGGCCUCUACCUCUGGCUCCACCUGCUGCCUGCGCCGCUACACCCCAAACUUCUGCGCCUUCGUGGCGCUCCGUCCGAUCAGCCCGCCCGCCGCCACCGCCACGGCGACUGCCAAGGCCCUCACCUCUCCGUCUCCGGUGGAGCAGCACCUACAGGCCGUCGUCCCGUGCCACGGCAUCAGCGACCCGCCGGCGGCGUCAUCGGCAGCAGCGGUCCCGGCGGCGCCGCUGCGGGUGGGGAUCGUCGGGUUCGGCAACUUCGGGCAGUUCAUCGCGGGCGGGCUGCAGCGGCAGGGCCACGUCGUGCUGGCGGCUUCCAGAUCCGACUACUCCGUCUACUGCGCCAGCCAUGGCAUUCGCUUCUUCAGGAGCGUCGACGCGCUGUGCGAGGAGCAGCCGGACGUGCUGCUCAUCUGCAGCUCCAUCCUGUCCACGGAGGGCGUCGUCCGAGCCAUCCCCUUCCGCAAGCUCCGCCACGACACCAUCGUCGCCGACGUGCUCUCCGUCAAGGAGUUCCCUCGCAACCUCCUCCUCGAGGUAACCAAUCAAGGCCUUGUUUAGUUCACACUUAAAACCAAAAAAUUUUCAAGAUUCUCGGUCACAUCGAAUUUUGUGGCACAUAUAUGAAACAUUAAAUAUAGAUAAAAACAAAAACUAAUUACACAAUUUAGCUGUAAAUCACGAGACGAAACUUUUGAUCCUAGUUAGUUCAUGAUUAUAUAAUAUUUGUCACAAACAAACGAAAGUGCUACAGUACCGAAAACUUUUCACUUUUCGGAAGUAAACAAGGCCCAAAACACUCUAAUUACCGGUACGGCAUUAACGAGGCUUUUCAAUUUUUCAACACCCACCUACCGUUCCCGAUCAAUAAUCAAUAAUGCACCUGCUCCUGCUGACGGUUGGCAGCUGAGCUGAUGUUGGUGAACGACAGAGAAUACUAUGCGGCCGUUUGGAUCGCAGCCUGUGAAUAGUAUUUUUUUUAAAGAAUAAUGGCUAAUGAGAUGUAUCCACCAAUAAACCUAUUAGCUUUUAUUAGCCCAUAUUUAACAUUUCUAGGACAUCGUCCUGGAAUAUAAGAGUCAAUAUUUUUAAGACGACUGGUGGUGUCUUGAUUGAUGUUAGGGGAUCGUCCAGAACAAUUAGUCGUCGUCCAGGACGAUUAAUCGACCCUGGACGAGUCUCCUGGUUGUCCUGGUCAUCUCCUACGUAUGAAGACCGAUAUAUACCAUAUGUAUUAUGUAGUUAUCACAUUCUAGAGUCUAGAUAGGUCAGGACAGGUAGAACAUCAAGCUUGAACGAGGAGGUGAUGAGUGACCUGAGGAGGAUGAGCUCAUCUUUGUAGUCCUCCUCCCUUGCACAGUUGGACCUGUGCCACCUGCUGGAUGUGCAGGUCUAUACACUUGCAGCAGCAGCCGCAAGGAAGAGAGGGAAGAAAGCUGAGAGGAACUGAGGAAGGGAGGGAGGAGCAGCUAGGAACCGAAAGGGAGGAGAGGAGAGAAGCAAUGGAGGUGGCUGCUGCGGGACAGGAGAGGUGAGAGGAGUAUGUUCCGCUGAAAUGAGUGAGUGAGGGGUAAGAAACAACAUAAAUUUUAAUAGGCUUGGGCCAAAAUUUAAGGCAACUAGCUAGGUUCAACUCUGAGAUGCAGUCCACCUAUUGACUGGACGCCCAAACAACUUGGACGGACGAUUAAUCGCGAUUGGACGACGACUAAUCAGACGACUAGUUUCCUGGUUGGUCUGGCCGAGUCAGAGACCCUGGUCGAGUAGCUCCAACUAUCCAAGACGAUUAGUCGUGAUUAAUUGUACAAUAGUUUAUAGUCAAAAUAAUGCUGAUGCGAAUGAGUAAAGAGAUGAGAGAAAUGAGAGCUUGGCUCCUAUGCAAACACAACAGGGCAUGAAGCAUACAUGUUUAUGGGCCCAAGUAGGCUAUCAAAGCAUAUGUAUUUGUGGGUCCAAGUAACAAGCGUUUUGAGAAGGAAUAGGAGAGAGAGACUUUUUCACACUUAUUGUAUAACUUAGCUCUUAUAACUUGUCUUAUAGCCAAGUAAAUUGGCUCUAUUGUUGAUCUUGUUCUAAGGCUUAAAGGUAGAGACUAACGCAGUGGCAGACCUAGAAUUUUAAUACAGGGUAUGUCGCACACAAAAAAUUUUUAUGUAAUUUGGUAAAACCAUUUUAUUCAGUAAAAAUUCUAUCAUUAAAUUUUAUUAAAAAAACUGACAUGAUAAUACUAAUGUUCGACGAACCAUGAACCAAUCUCUAACCACCGAUCUCGCUAAUAUUCCCGAUGCAUAACUAAUGUUGGAGUGCAUAAUUCGUAAAGCUGACACGACACUAUAUAUAUAGCUAUCAAUUUUCAUGCCAUGCAUAACUACAAAUUUUCAUGCUAUACAUAGCUAUAGAUUUCCAUUCCAAAUAUGUCACAGGACACAAUAAAAUGAAAUGGGAUGAAAACAAUUGGAAAAUAAAGGAUAAAAAUACAACACAAAAACUAAAAAAAUAUAUUAUCUAUGGUUAGUUUUUGAAAGGGACAUAAAAAGUUAGCUUUUAAAGGGAACAUAAAAUAUAAAAAUAAAACAAAAAUUGGAAGAAAAAAAAGAUAAAAACAGAACACAAAAACUAAAGAAAAAAAAUGAUCUACAGUUAGUUUUUGAAGCGAACAUAUAAAAAGUUAGUUUUUAAAAGGAACAUAAAAAUAUAGAAAAUUUAAAGGAACAUAAAAAUAUAGAAAAUUAAAAAAAAACAUAGAUGCGGAUAUUUGAGCCAGGGAUCUCUUGGUUAAAAAGCAAAUAGGCCAUUGGGCUAUAAAGACAUAUCAUCAAAAUAUUUAGUUUCAAACAAUUUUGUUAUAUACAUAGUAGUUCAUAGCUGCUCCACUGGGUAUGCCAUGGCCCAUCUGGCAUACCCUGUGGCUCCGCUCCUAACGGAAGUUUUUAUCUCUGCUAAUUAUCUUGCCAGCCAAAAAAAAAGCUUAUGCCCUAUUUAGUUUCUUACCCAAAAACUUUUUAUCCAUCACAUUGAAUCUUUGGACACAUACAUAUAGCAUUAAAUAUAGGAAAAAAAUUAAUUGCACAAUUUGGUUGUAAAUUACGAGACGAAUCUUUUAAGUCUAAUUGAUUAGCCAUAAUUACUACAGUAACCAACAUAUGCUAAUAAUGGAUUAAUUAGGCUUAAUAAAUUCGUCUCGUAGUUUCCAAGCGAGUUAUGCAAUUUGUUUUAGCAACUCCAACAGUUUGCUAAAACUCACUUGACAAAUCUAUAGUUUUGUCAAGUCUCAAAACCAAAUACCAAAUGAAAAAAGAGGCCUUCUCCAACAGUUUGCUAUUUGAACUUGGCAAAAGAAAUUGGUAUCCUAGAACUUUUGCCAAAAUCAUAAAAUUAAGCCUUAAACAAGUUGGCAAAACUGGUUUGCAAAUUGGGAUACACGUAAUGCCAAACGACGGAGGACUUGGCAUAUUUACCAAAUGAAGGGGGAAUUUUGCCAAGCUCACAAAAUCCUAGCAUGCCAAGUAUUUUUAGCAAACUGUUAGAGUUGCUUAGUAUCAAAAAUCUCACUCGACAUCGGCAUAUCUAAUAUAAUAUCAAAAAAUUUUCUUUUUGUGAAAAACAAUCCUUGGUUGAGAAACUACGUUACUCGUGAAAGUAGGCGUGUUUUCGCGUAGGGAGUAAACGAGCGGUUUCUACGGGUAGGGCGUCGCCGUUCAUGAAGACUUCACAGGCAGUAUCGCCGACGCGUAGGCUGCCACACCGCGAACGCACCUCCCUGCCGUGCCUCCCGUGCCCGCAAUGAACGCACCACCGCGCCAUGCAGGCCAAGGCUCCACGCCGCCGUCGCUCUUGCACCAGCCAUGUCUCCGCGCCCAGGAUUGUCGAGCCUCCGUGCCUCUGCCCAUCCGCGCUCGUCGUUUGCCCCUGCCUCACCGGUGACCAGCAGCCUCCCUUCCCUUCCUCUGGCACUCAGAAAAGAGAAAAGAAAAGCAACAUUUAUUAUGCGAAGACACAUAAAUGUACUUACUAUUUCUUGUUUAUUUGACAAAAUAGAAAAUAGUCACUCCAACAGUUUGGUAAAUGGGUUGCCAUCUUUUGGUAACUUACCAUCCAGCAGCACCGCGCGCCCAUAUUUAUCAACUUGCUAUCCAGCAGAUUAGUUGAUUUGGUUGUUAGUUGUGGGUCUUUUUUUUUAAGUUUAUCAAGCCCAAUUGACAAACUGUUGGACAUAGAAGAAAAUCUCACUUGCUAUAUGUUUUAGCAACUUGCCAAAUCACAAAAUUUGGCAAGUGAGUUUUACCAAACUGUUGGAGAUUACCCAGCACUAGAACAGAUCUUACCAUAUACUACGAUUCAAAGACCAAGAAAUAUAUUUAAUUCUUUAUCUUAGCAUUAGUAUUUAUGAGACUUAAACAAAAAGUAGUUACCGCUUAUAUAUUAAGACGGAGUGAGUGUUUGUCAUACAAAACUCAACUAAUUUUUAGCUCUAUGUAUCAACACCCCUACGCCUAUUCCGUGGUCCAGAAUUCGUUACUUCAUUUUCUCUGAAUUUACUUGAUUUUCUCUGAAUUUCUGACAAAGACGUUACCCUUAUGUUAGACUUACCAACUGUACUUACAAGGAAUGGUGCAUUGCCGUGUGUGGAAUCUAGAAUGAGGAUUGCUGAUACACUGAUACAUUGCCAAUCUGUCAGGUUCUCCCACCGGGAUUUGGGAUCAUCUGUACGCACCCCAUGUUUGGGCCGGAGAGUGGUAAACACGGCUGGGGCAAGCUUCCCUUCGUCUUUGACAAGGUCCGUGUCGCGGAAGACGGGGAUCAGGCAGCAAAGUGCGACCAGUUCUUGAGCAUAUUUGAACAGGAGGUAAUUCUACCGGGACUUUUGAUCUCUUUGUUUUGAUGUUCAUUCACAGUGGACCAUUUUUGGGAGUAACCUUUGGUCACAACAACUGACUGACUAGAGUUACUCAACAUGUGGAUUUUUUGUGUGUGUUUCAUUUUGUUCUAAACGAUGUUUGUAGGGAUGUAGGAUGGUGGAGAUGUCAUGCGCGGAGCAUGAUCGCUACGCUGCGGGAAGUCAAUUCAUCACGCACACAAUUGGGAGGUCAGCAAACAUUGCAUAUCUGGAAUGUUUUUACAGUUAUUUAUUACACCAAAUUGUUUCCUGUAUCUGCCUGCUUAGCUUCAUGCUAUGAAUAACUCGCGUUGUUUGGUGCAGGGUUUUAUCACAACUGAACCUCAAGUCAACGCCAAUCAACACCAAGGGUUAUGAAACCUUGCUGCAACUUGUAAGUGGUGAAUAAUGGCAUGGUCUUGUCCGUUCUUGAUUGCUGAGACGAGGGGCUCUUAUCGCCUACUACGAACUUGCAGACCAAGAACACCGUAAGCGACAGUUUCGAUCUGUACUAUGGGCUCUUCAUGUACAAUGUCAAUGCCACAGAGCAGGCAAGUGCUCUGCACUCUUCAUAUGCUGUGCUAUCGCUAUCAUCCCCUCAACACAUCAUGCAUUAGUUGCAUAUAAUAAGCUAGUUUUGGUUAGCCUGUGGGUCAGCGAUUGCUGUAAUGCAUAUAGUGCUAUUGUUUGUUAACAGUACAUAUGCCUAAAAUUAAGCUCAACCAUCAGCCUAAUUUUUCACUACUUCACGCGCAGCUCGACAAACUGGAAAUGGCAUUUGAGAAGGUGAGACAGAUGCUGUCUGGCAGGCUCCACGACUUCAUACGAAAGCAGAUUGUGGAGAGGGCAGCCCAUGUGCCAGCAGAUCCUUCAGGAAAAUUGGCAAAUGGUUUGUCCAGUUCUCCUGCAGCUCGCCUCUUAUAGACAGUAACUGAAGAAAAUAAGACACAUGUAUUGUUUCCUACACUUCAACCGGAUACUUCCCAAAUCCCCAUUUGUACAUCUUCCUAACUAUUACUUCGUCCCAAAUCCCCAUUGGCAAAUAGUUUAGAUGUUGGUGGAUUUUUCUGCAGAUUUGAUCAUCAAAGAUAAAAGGUGUUUAAUUUAGAACAAAAACCAAAGUGAAACAUAAUUUAAAACAGUUAAGAGUAUGUUGUUGUAAGUGUGCAGUUUCCAUAGUUAUUAUUAUUGACUAGACCAAGAGUAUAAGGAUACUGCUCUCCAUUUUGUUCCAGAUCUCUCACCUCACUUCGAGGCUGUUUGCUUGCUAACAAUUCUAUAAAAAAGAUCAAUAACACCAAAUAAGUAUAUUAUAAACAUAUAGUUUAUGAUGUUAUUAUUGACAUAUGGAAAUUAUUACUAUGUUUAAAAAUCUACAAUUGGAACUUAAGAUCCAAUAAUCCGCUGUCCUCUGUUUAUUACCUUAAAUAGUAGUAACUACUAGGUUACUAAACACAGAUACAUGGCAACUAUAUGUGCAUGUAGCAUUGUAUCACCAUAAAUGUAUACUUCAUCUUAAUGUCAUUUUUUCUCUAAGGCACUAUUAUACUAGGUCUUUAAUAGACAUAAUUUAAAAUCUGGCUUAUCAUAUACGAUAUAGGAUGACUACGAUCCUGAUAUCCUUUCUAAAAUCUUGCAACCUGCCUGGAAUCGGAUCGGGCUCUCCUUCCAUAAGGGUUUGACGGGCCAAUCCCAUGCUUCUUUCCACUGUCAACUUUCCUCAUCUUUCGGUGUUUAGAUGCACCGCUCUCCAGGUCCAGAUUGACUUUAGGAGGGUUCUUAAAACAGAAUGAUGCCGCAACUUUCUGAAAGAAAUAAAGAAAUUAGAAAGAGUAUUACCUCAUCCUCGCAGCCCCACCAAAAAUAGGUAACAGACAGACAAUUUGUAUUUGCAUUAAUUGUCCUACUUGACUAUGUAAGAUUUUGCAAAUUAAACAAAAUAGCCAGAGUAGAGAUAUAUGCACACAGACCAAGGACAGCCUUAGGAAAGAACUUCACAAGUAUGUACCGUGAGAUCAAGUUGAUGGACGUCAAAAAUGUCUUUCAUAGAAUGUGAGUUGUAUGCCAAAAGGUAGGACCUAUAGGCUUCCUUUGCUGACUGAUUUAGAAAGUAAUUCCCACCAACAAUGUUCUCCUGCUCCAAAACUCAAGUUAAAUACUUCACAUUGGAACAACAAGAUUGAACUGCGAAAGACACUCACAAGUUGCGAUUGCGAUUUAGGCACAUGCUUCUCACUGAACACAUAUUGAGUCAGAGAAAUAUUGGCCGCCUGCAAUAUGUUACUUCCUCAAUCCAAUUAUGUGGAAUAUCAUAAUCGGAGAUGUAAAAAUCAUAAAAAAAAUGCUUUAACAUAUAAAAUGAGACAACAAUAUCCAUAUUUCAGAGUACUUCCCAACACACUAUAUUGACUUUGUAUCCAGACAUGCUAAAGAAAAAAAAUGAUCACAUUAAAGUUAAAAACAGUGCCACAUACACUUCGAGGUUCCUCUUAAUAUAAGAGGGAGAAGGGAGGAGGGAUGGGAAGCACAUUACCUGCAGAUAAAUAAGCAACUUCAAUUCUUCCGGUAGUAAGAACAAUAAUGCACUUCCUUUGCCUUCAUCACCUCGGGCAGUACGACCAACCCUGUGGAUGUAAUCCUACAGAUUAAAUUCCAAUGCCAAGUUAGAAAAUUUGAUAAAAAUAGAUAAUUAAUUAGGAAAGUUCAGGACGACUUACCUUUGGGUCAUCUGGAGGAUCAUAUUGCACAAUAUAGUCCUAAACCAGACAAGCGGUCCUUAGGUUAGCGAGGGGUACAGAAAGGAUUGGUACAAAUGAUUUAAAAACGCAGGCCAAAACCUUACCACAUCAGGAAUAUCAAGUCCACGUGCUGCCACGUUUGUGCAUAAUAAGAUGCCCCUUUUCUCCUUCAAAAAUCGGAAGAAUGUACUAGUUCGCUUCUGUUGCUUCAGCUGCCCAUGAAUAUCAUAACACUCUAUCCCAAAGAAAUUUAGAAGUUCUGCAUGGAACUUGACUGAGCUACAUGACGAAAAGAACACCAUGAUCUUCACACCCUGCUCCCUAAGCUGCAUCCUUCUUAGGAAAGCAUACAGAACCAGAAAUCUUUUCUCACUUGGAAUGACACAAUAACCCUGCUGCAAGCCCUCAACUGUAGGCUGUAAGAGCAUGAAAGUUAUUUCUCAUACCAAAUAGAUAAAAAUUCUUUAAAAUAGAGUUGAACAAAAUUGUGAAAUAGUUCCAUACCUUCAAUUUAGAAUCAUCAACUCCAACAUAAACAAGUUUCCUUUGUCUUUCUUCAUUCUGUCCAAAUGUAAAAUUCGCAAAAUCUACAACCUGUGGGAUCAAAACACAUAAACAAUGGCACUGACAAAAAAAAGGGGACGAGAUUUUGAAUAUGCUAACAAACAGAUCCACUGACCUUUUGAGUCUGCGGGGCAGAAAAAAGAACAGUUUGCCUAUCCUGCAUAUGAUGCAUAACAAUUUGAGGACAAAAAUACAGCAAUCUCAGUACAAAAUUUAAAACGCUAACUUCACAUAUGAAAUGAACUUGUCAGACUAUCACAUACCGAAGGGAGUCGUUUAAAUAUUUGUUUCAUAUCCUCCUCAAAAUUUUGCUCAAGUAUGCGAUCAGCUUCAUCAAUUAUGAGGCACUACAACAUAGCAAGUCAUGUUAAAGAUAGAGUACAUAUAGGUCAGGAAUUACAUCCAUUGCCUUAAACAUGAGUUUUCAUGAAAAUCAAUGUCAUUUUCCUGCUAAACAGGUGGCACAUGAGCCACUGAACCUUAACUUGCCCAUGGGGCAGCCCAGCACAGUAGGCAUAUUCCAUUGCCAAGGUAUGAGUAGACAGCACAAUGCAUUACAUCCCUGCCCAAAAAUGUAUUUACUGGUGGGCAAUUAGAUAUUCCUUUCAUCUGAAAAUGGAAUUUAAUAUUGGCGACAGAUAUGGAAAAAAGCUUUUAUCUACAGAUUUUUUUUUUUUGAAAAUGCAGGAGAGCUGCGCUUCAUUAUAUUAGAGAAGAAAAUAGUCCCCAAACAGCCCACUUAUCUCGUACGGGGACUUUUAUCUGCAGAAUAACAAACAACAAUACAUCCGAUGGACUUGCCAACCCACAUAACAUUCCUAACAAUGGAUCAAUAACUUUAUAAAGAAUAUAAACCAUUAGGUUUUAUGAUUUUGCAUGUACUUUGGCAUAAUGUAUGCAGAAAUUUCAUUUAUACUCUAAUUCAGUAUUAAGAAGCCAGUACUGGACAAUGAAAAGAUAGAAAAACACAGAUCUGAUAUAUGAAACAAAUCAGGUGACUGAUUAUGCAUGUAGAGUAGCGAAGUAUGAGAUUGCUGGUUGUAUUUGUUAUUUAGCUUGAUAAUUAGAAUAUGCACACUAUUUCAACAGAAAUAUUUUCCUUGAAGCUUGGAAAAAAAUGAUAAUAACAAGAAUGCUUUACCUGUAGCCUUUUAUAGUGGAAACCACUGGUACUUCGCAGAUGGUCCAAAAGUCUGCCUGGUGUAGCAACUAACAGAUUGAUCCCUUUCACAAUUUGGUUGGCCUCAUUUCUUAUGUUAGUGCCACCAAUAACAUAUCCAAUAGUUUGUGAGUGAUACUUCAUUAAUUCCUUGGCAACAUUGUGUGUCUAGCACAAAAGAAUCAAUGAAACUCAUAAGUCAUAGUUAUUAGGGAUAGUGAAAUGUGAGUCCCUAUGAACAAAGUCUCGGCAACCAUCCAACAUGAAGAUACACUAUAUAAAACUGACUCCAAUGCAUUAUAUUUGCACAAGCAUUACCUUAGCAAAGGAUAUGCUUACCUCAGUUUGGUCCAUCUGAUUUUGAUUGGGUUUCAUUCAAUGCAAGUUGAAGAGUCACAAAACAUGUAAAAUGGAAUUAAAGAGAAAUACUGUUGCGUCAUAUGCAUAUAUAUUACCUGGAUAGCAAGCUCCCUUGUUGGGCAAACUACAAUAACUCCAGUUCCGUUCCUUGGCGUGAAGCAUGCUUUGUGCAGCAGUUCGAUCGCCGGUAUAAGGAAGGCAAGGGUCUUCCCUGAGCCAGUUUUGGCUGAUCCCAGCACAUCACUUCCUAGCAUAAGAUGCGGUAUUGAUCUAGCUUGAAUCUGCAAGGAAAAGAAACAUGCAUACAUGCCAUUUACAGUAAUACAAAAAAUCCAACAGCUAGCGCAGCAAAGAGCAGAUCAAAUCAACCCACAUAAUGCAAUAAUCAACCGCAGAAGCAUUCAAUCAACUAGCUGUAAUUAUGAAAUUGGACAAAAAUUUAGGUGUCGGCGAGAAUUAAUGACCUCGGUAAGGUGGGUGUAGUUCAUCUCUGUGAUGGCCUUGGCAGUGAACUCGGAUAUGUAGAGCUCUGAGAAAGUUUUGUUAGUUAGAAUUCCUCCUGCAUUACCCUUGUUCACCUUUUCUUCUUCUUCUUUAUUCUCGUUCUUCCCCUGCUCCAUCCCUAUCUCAUCCUCCUUCCGCUUCCGCUUCCCCUUACCUUUCUCCUUUUCAUCUUUCUUCUUCUCCUUGCCCAUCCCCUCCCUCCCAUUCCCCUCCCCUUUCCCCUUCUCCUCAUCCCCAUCCCCAUCGCAGGUGGCGUCGUGGAUCGACUCUCCCGACUCUGGCGGAGCAACGGGGUUCUUCAACGGCUGGGCCAAGUGGCUACAGGGGCCGCUCAGGUACAUGGCGGCGCCGGGGGCUGCUGAAGGUUGGUGAGGAGGGCUCACUCCGGCUAAAUUCGAAUCGUACAUAUAAUAGCGGCGGCGGUGGCGGCGGCGGAGGCGGUGGUGGUGGCGGCUGCUAGAGCGGCAGAAUGUAGGUAUUAGUGCACGUACACGUGCACCAGAGCGUUUCACGGGGGCGCAGACGUCCACGCGUGGGCCGUGCCGCCGUGCCGAGGACCUACUUGUUGUAAUUUAGAGUACUGUAAUGUUGUACUUGUACAAACAAGACUGUAUUGUACAUUUGUAUAUAUACAUGUAUACAAGAUACAGGGAACACACACACCCAGACACAACGAGAGGCCCGAUGAUCAAUCAGACACCAGCGGAACAACUACCGCACCGAUCUCGUGGAGUCAUGGAGGAGGAUCGAUGACUACAUGAUCGAGCAAGCAGCACUCGGGUUCUCGUCACUGAAGUAGUUCCGCACGGCGGCUGGCACUACUUCGCCGGGCUGCUCCUGCUCCUGGUAGUUCCCGUAGAGCUCCGAGUCGUAGUACCCGUGGACAUGGUAGUUGUAGGAGGAGCUGGCCUUGGCCUGAGGGUACAGCUGCGCCACCGCCGGCUUCCUGCCCACCGCCGCCGCCGAGCCGCCGCCGCUGCUGUUCUUGCCGGCGCGCGGGACGCUGCUGUAGUAGUAGUGGUGCUGCUGCGGCUGCGCAUGCGCGGGCUUGGCCUGGUGGUACAGCUGGUACUGGUACUGGUAGUAGGAGGCCGCCGGCUGCGCGUGGGCUUGGUGGUGGUAAUACGCCGGGUUGUAGUUGUAGGCGGAAGCGGAACCGGAGGGCCACAGCACGGCGAGCCUUCCCGUGCGCCGCGCCGCCCGGAGCGCCUUCUUCUGGCUCACCGAUCCCGUCACCGUCACCUUGCCGUGCAUCCUGUCUAUGCUUACGUGGUGCACUCCUGGAGAGGAGGAGGAGGAGGAGGAGGAGGAAGAGGAGAAUCAUAUCGAGCAGUUCUUUGCGUGUGUGAUCAUGAGACAUUUUCGUACGACAUACAUAUACAUAUACGCACCUUCGAGCUUUUCCAGGGCUCUCCUGACCUUGCCCUCGCAGCCGUCGCAGUCGAUGUUCACAUGCAUCUCUACGAUCUGCAAAGACACGACACGACGAUCGAUGCAUGGUUUAGUUUCAGAGACGAGGGAUAUGCAUGAGAGCACUAGAACACAAACAUGCAUCAUCCAUCAAAAGUCUGAGUCAAAUUAAUUGGCCAAGCAGUGAUUUGUGUUAGAGCGAAGAGUGACUCAAGCUUACCGUCAUGGUUCCUCGGACAGACGACGGUAAAGAAGAUUCACUCUGGGGAGUUCACUAGGACAGUGUGUAGUGCAGUGUGUGGUGUAUAUAUGCACAAGAAUCACUACCGGAGAUGCAGCAGGAGAGAAGACAUGCAUUGUGUAUUUGAGGAUAUCAAGUCACGGUGCCAAGUACCAAGUAUAUUGCCGGCUAUUUUGUUUUCUCUCUUUUUUUUAUGGAAACGACGCGGACAAACAGUCCCCACCUGAUGUAUUGCCGGCUAAUAAUUUCUUUGUUCCUGUAGCCCAUUGCGCUCAUUUAAUUUGCCUUGACGUCGCUGGCAGUGCCUAUCCCAGUAUUUCUUCCCUACAUACGAAUGCCAUGGAAGUUGCGUGCCAUCACUUAAGAAGAUGCUUCGGUCAUGGACAACGACCGGCUAAGUAAACUAUAUGCUGAAUCAACGCAGCUGGGAUUGCGUACGUUGUGUAAGAUAUAUAGAUACAUAUGCAAAUUGAGCAAGUAGGCAGACACAACUAUCAGGUCGCUGUUUCUGCGAUGGGCAACCAACGUACGGGAGAGCUUCAUUUUUUUAAUUUAUAAGUUAAUUUAAUUAGAAUUGUUAUCUGGCCAAGUCUAGAUUAUAUUGAACGUUAUUAGGUUCACCAUCCAAUAUCUAUGUAAGCCUUUUAGGUGUAAUGUAACUUAAUUGGUUGGGCCGGGUUUCUUUGUCGAAGCUGCCCAAUUGGGUUCAAUUUCCAAAUUUGGAAUGGGUACUUGUGCUUUUCUUGAUCUUUUUUUAAAAGGAUAUAUAUAAUGGAUGAUUUUUUUUUCAAGAAACAAAACUGUUAACUCACUCUUUUUGUUCUAUCCUUUUGGAUGGCUUUUGGUUUUUCUAGUAGCAAAAGCACUUUUAUUUGAAAGCCCAACCAAACACACAGUGAUAGUUGCAUUUUUCUUUAUUUAUCUUAGAAAAGGGUAGGAAUGGGUGAUGUUUCCGGAAACAAAAUUGUCAACUCAAUGUUCCUUUUUGAAAACAAUAUGGGUAAAGUGCAGUGCUUCUGUAGCAAGAUAUUUUGAUCUCCCAGAUCGUCGUGUGGACUUAAUUAUAUUAUUGUGGCUGGAGAAAGUAGUCAAUGGUGUUGUUAAAUAGGCAUGAUCUUCUAUAGGGACACAAUCCACAAAAAUUCAUUUGCAUUCAUCUUCGGAAAUGGCCCAUUAAUUGUAAGGAUCAUGUGGUGAUGUAUGCGAUUUAGUGAGGUGUUGGUGAUUUAUGAUGACAACCCAAUUACUGAGAAUAAUAUAUAUUUUAAGAUGGGUUAUAGAUAUUUUAGUAGAUUCUACAGGUUCAAGGAAACAAACAACAUAAAGAAUAGUGAAGAAAUAACGAAAAAACCAUGAAAAUAAUGAACUAAUGUGGUUGGAUAGUCCACAGUACAGCGUUGGACAAUUAGGGUCAGUGUUUAGCCAACAAAAUGAUUAGAGAUUUAGAGCACUGUUCACUUAGCUUGGUGAAAGCUCUAAUUUAGUUUUGGUGAAUUGAUGAAACUCUAUGUGCUAACCUAUUGUUCUAAGUAUUUAUGAGAUAGGAAAGCACAUUCCAAGUGGUGAGCAACAUGGGUGAUGAUCAUAAUGGUGAUAGUGGAACCAAGGUGAUCAAGUGCUCGGGCUUGGAAAAGAAGAAAGAGAAAAACAAAAAGCUCAAGGCAAAGGUAUAAUUUUUUUUGACCGAAGUCAGCAAGGAAACCCCAGCCUAUUUUUUUAUUUUUUUAAUAAUGCAGAUCUGUUUAAAUUCGCUCCCACCGGGAGUCGAACCCAGGUCUGCUGGUGCUACUCAGGUGCUCUAACUACUAGGCUAGAGGCCCUUUCGCGGCAAAGGUAUAAUUGGUUAGGAGCUUUUUGGUUUGCACUCAAGACACCAUAGAGGGUGUGAGUGAUUUAGGAUUGAUAGUCGUACUAUUGAGAGGGGUAAAACUCGUAUUGAAAUGUGGUUGUCAAAGUGCCACUAGAUGCUCUAACUCAUUGUAUAUGUAUUAGGAUCUAGUGAGUGCGCUAACUUCUUUUAGAAAAAUGUUUAUGAAAAUACUAACACGCUUGCACAUGGUGAUCUGCACUUGGUGGUGUUGGCAUAUUUACAAAGGAGGUGGAGUUUGAUGGGUUGAGAGGGGUUUGAGAUCCUCUCUCCCUUGGUGGUGUUGGCACAUUUGCAAAGAAGGUGAAACUUGAUUCGGCGCUUUUGGGAAAAUAAUUUGUAUAUUUUCUACUGCACCAGAGAUGGACUUGAAGUAGUGGCGAAGUCGUGGUAGUGUCUUGCACUGAAAUAGUGCACUAGACACUGGUGCUAAGAGCACCGGACGCAGGGGCUUUGUCCGGUCAGUUCUAACUGGCAAGCACUCUAAGGGUUUACCAUCGGACACUAAGCACCGAAUGUUGGCUGAACAAGCAUUUGGUCUACGUGACAUGGCGAGUCUGUGCGAGCCGUGUUGCACCAGACGCUGUGGUGCGUCUAGUCACUAGGCACCGGACGCCUCCGGUGAUGAAAAACAUGUUUCGGAUCCUCUCUGAGUAGCAACCAAACACUGGGUGCCGAGUUCAGUCGGUGCGUCCGGUGUGAACUUAACCAUUGAGAUCUUACGAUGCGACCUUCAAAGGUAGAGGACAUGUGGCGAGAAUCCAUGCAUCGGACGCUGAGGGCUGCGUCCGGUCGUUUGCACCAGAGCGUCCGGUGGCCCCGUGUUUUGAGAAGAUGGAGAGCCAACGAGUCUAUUUCUUUGAGGGGCCUAUAAAAGGUGGUUGUCUAGCUUGGGCUCAUACCUUUGGCCAUUUUCAUUGACAUAGCAACCUUGUAAGCCUAGCGAAUAUACUCCCACUCAAUUGCAUCAUUAUUUGAUCAUCCUUGUGAGAUUGGAAGAGCAUCCAAGUGCAUUGCUUGAGUGUUUGCAUCUAGAGGAACUUGGUGAUCGUGUUUCGUUGCGGGAUUUGCUUGCUACUCUUGGAUGUUUGCCGACUCCUAGACGGCUUGGUGCAGCAAGGAUCAUCAAGCAGAGGUUGGUGAUUGUCUCCGGCUCCGAUCGUGGUGAUUGUGAGGGGUUCUUGACCUUUCCCUGACGGAGAGCCAAAAAGUAUUCUAAUGAAUUGCUCGUGGCUUGUGUGAUCCUCAUUUUGUGUUGGUUGUGCGGCACCUAUGAGGGUUUGGCGUGUGAUGGCAAUUAGCUCGUGAACCUUCAAGCAAGUGAACCUUGGUACAAAAUCAUUGUGUCAACAUUUGAUUCCUAGGUGAUUGGUCUUGAUUGACAUUCUCUAUUGUGAUUGAUUGGCUCAUUCCUCUAUGCUGUGGUAUAUCAAUCCUAACCCCUCUUGGUAUUACUUUGCUAGCUAGUUUGUGUAGCUCUCUUGCUUAGCUUAGCUUAUCACCUAGGGGUAAGUAGUGACAUAGUCUUGGUGUGCUUCCUUAGAGACUAUAGAAACUAUAUUAGGUAGGAGGCUUUCUUCGACAUUGUAGAGCUAGUGCCAAAUUCGCUUCGCCAUCUUAUAUACUAAUCAAGUGCUUUUAGUGUUGUUGUAAAAAAUUUUAUUAGGCUAUUCACCCCCUAUAGCCAUUAGGACCUUUCACUUGGUCAAUCAUAUCGCAUCUUACCAAACAAAGAGACCAUAAAAAAUGAAGAUUGGAGACAAGCAAUAAAGAAGAAGGAAAUUUAUAAAUACAGUUGUUGUCAAUAGAAUAGAUGGUCCGACCAAUCAGAGAAGUGUGCUAGACUUUCUAUAGUGUUGUCUGGCCAUCACUUGUGCAGGGACACUGUGCAAAUGCAUAGUCUAGACGAUCUAGUAAGUAUUAAAGAAGUUCUAGAAUUGAACAAUCUGACAUCAUCCAAUCUGCAACGACUAGUACUUCAAUGGUCACAACUGACUAGAUAUUCUGAUAGAAGCAUAAUCUAUGAGCACUAGAUCGUCAGCGUUGUUUUUCGACAAACUUUGGCUAAUGGCCAUAUGAGAAAUGGAGGAGUUAUAUAUACUCCGUUCUAUCAUUUUGUGGUGGUUGGAUGUUGUUGAAGUUUCCCAUGGCUACUAGAACUAAAGCAAGAGAUUGUUUAAUCCAUCCACCCUCUCAAAUGCAUGUUGAUCACAUCCAAGACAUAAGAUAGAGUCUAGCAUUUAUCUUUGAGGGUGUUAGGCAUGAGAGCAUGAGAGCUUCAGAGUUAGGGUUGUUGAGCUCUUGUAAUACUAGAUCAUACCCCGCGCAUUGCUGCGGAAACAUAUAAUUGGAAUGUAGGAAAAACAGGAGAGAAUACACGAUACUUACUAAUCAAACAUACGACAUGGGUACUUCAUAUGGGCCAAUAAAGACUCGAUGUGGUAUGAGCAUUCAUAAACAUCCGGCUUUUGGCCAAGGAGAUGGAACCUCUCAGUGCUUACCAGGGGCCAUGCAGCAGCGCAGGGAGGAGCUCGAUGGUGGCGAUCUUCCUGGCGGUAGCAGCUACAACGUGCGCGUCACCACUAGUGAACAUGCAGCGAUCAUUGACCAAUGACAGCACCUUCUACUUCCUAUGGAGGGGCAGGAGAGAUUCAUUUUACGCCGUAGGCGAUUGAUGCAUGCGUAAUGGUGCUGGCGUUUCAAAUGAGGAUGCAUGCGUAAUGGCUAGUGGGUGAGGUGUAUGUGAACCCUUGCAAUUUUGUAUGCACAUGCACAUGCACAUGCGUUAGGCUUUAAUUUGGAGGCAUACGUGUAGAUGUGGGACCCUCGGAUGACGUGGCUGCAUGAGAAUGCAGGGAAAAUAUGGUAGUGGGGAUCUCCUAUUUAGGCAUAGAGGAUUGGUGAGCUAGAGAACUUGGGUUGUGUUGCUGACCUUGCAAUGACAUUAACCCUCUGAGCUUGGUAUUGAGCAGUGGCAACUUAAUGUGCAUGGGAUGAGGAGACUCCUUCCUUAUUAGAGAAGCUAUGCUUCCUUACUAGAGAAGCUACAUAGAGUGCACACAACAUCAAAGGUGACCAGGAAAGUGUGGUGGUAAGCUUUAAUGGGUUGCGACACUUUUCUUGGUUAUGCAAGCCUUUGUGGAAAGCUCAACACCAUUACCAAGGGAUGAAGCUUUAGUGACAGGGAGCAUACCACAUGGGAUCUCUAGUGUGCAUUAGGGGUUGUGGUUUGGCAACUGAUAUCAUGGGAUACAUUAUUGUCUCUAAUUAAGAGUUUGACCUAUCUUGACUUGCUAUUUACGUACCACAUUAGGCCUCUAUAUUGUGCUUGACUUGUGUGGCAUUUACCUUUUAUUAAUCAGUAUAAGGUAGUUAAUAGGAUUGACUCUAGGUUGCAAAAGUCUUUGGGGGUGUAGGUAGGUAGAGUACACUAGAAAAACUUAUGGUGCAUAUCAUGCUAUACUAGUUUAUAUUUUUUCUAGUGAAAUUCAAGUAGACCCCCAAACUCCAAUCACUAGUGGCAACCUCUAAGGGAACCUCUAAGAGUAAGCUCUCAAGCUUGCAAAACAAUCACUAUAGCGCCGUUGGAUCGCUCAAGUAAAUGCACUAGAUCAUUCCAAUAAAAAAUUACCAAUCAAGUAGAUGCUAUCUCUCACUGAUUCAAUUGGUAACAUAUAUUGCCAGGCAUUAGAUUUCAGAAACUGUUUAGCACUAUCUAAAGAGGGAUGGUUGAAGUAGCAUCAUGGUAAAAAAAGUCCAUCCAAUGGGCUGGGAUACAUAUAUAGUGGCAUUUUCCCUGCCAAGAUUCAUUAAUACAUAAUAGUAAAUUUGUAGAUUAUAUGAUGUUCAUUAUUACAAUAUAUUUAAGAUGCCAAGAUUUUCCACUUGGACUUCACAACAAGAGUGAAAAAUAUAAAGAGGCCAAAGCCGAGGAAAUUACAUAAACAUGCAUAUAGUGAAAACAGGUGGUGUCAGUUUUCAGCAUCUCCAUCCAAAACUGACAAAACGCCACCAUCCGGAAGCUGUGAUUAUUAUUGCCGUGCAGUACUCUGCAGGUGAGUGAAGGGGAAGCGGCCUAGCCGGUGUUCUGCAUGCCGGCGGCGAUACCCUUCAUGGUGAGGAUGAGCGUGUCUUCCAGCCCCGGCGGGUACUCGCUCGCCGGGUUCAGCUUCACCAGUCCGGCGGGCUUGUUCUCGUCGGCGAACUCCUUGGACAGCGGCGGCUGCGGCGUCACCUUGAAGCUGGGGUCCCUUAUCCGCUUCAGCGUGUAGGCCUGGAACACGUUCAGGGUGGUGAUGUAGGGAUUGCGCAGACGCAGCCCCUGCUUCAGGUAAGGAUCGCCUUCAAGAAUGUCCUUGUGCCCAGCGAUCUGCAACAAAAAAAAAGUACAGUACAUGAAUAUAUAUAUAUAUAUAUAUAUAUAUCGUGCAGUCUGCAGUGCAUGAAUAUCAUUCCUGCAGUGAACUUGCUGGUAAAAAAAAAGGUACCUGUAGGAGAAGCUGCUGUGUCUCCACGUAUUUGUCCCUGAGCUGCUUCCCAAAGGGCUUGAGUUCCUCGGCGACAAGCAGCUCGUCGUACAAGCCGGCAAUGCCAGGGUCUCCCUUGGCGAAAACCAUCUCCAGCAGGUCCAGGGUGACCCUGAAGAAUGGCCACUCGUUGUACAUCUCCUUGAGCUUCUGGAAGUUCUUGAUGUCCUUGUCGAUGGCCCACUUGAAGGCGGCGCCGACUCCCAGCCACACGGGGAGGUGGAACCUCGUCUGUGUCCACGAGAAGAUCCAGGGGAUGGCACGCAGGGUGGUGAUGCCGCCGCCCGGCUUCCUCUUGGCUGGCCUGCUGCCGAUGUUCAUCUUCCCGUACUCAGUCUCAGGGGUAGCCUGACAGAGAAAGACAGACGAAUGAAUUAUAACGACGACAUGGAUGAAUGAAUUCGAUUAUUCGAUCGAUCUUCACCAAACAUCAAACAAAUAUAUGAUGGCAUACCGAUCUGAAGUACUCGACGAAUCGCGGCUCCUUGACGACGACGGAGCGGUACUCCUCCGUGGCGACGACGGCCAUCUCCUCCAUGAGCUUGCGCCACUCGGGCUUGGGAGACACCGGCGGGUGCAUGCCGUGCUCCAGCGUGGCGGCCGUGAACCGCUGCAGAGACUGGAAGCACAGGUUCUCCUCCCCGAACAUGAACUCGAUGACCUCGCCCUGCACCGUCACACGGAUGGACCCGUUGAUGGUGUCCGGCGGCUGGGACAGGAUGGCGAGGUGCGUCGGGCCACCGCCCCUGCCGACGGUGCCACCGCGGCCGUGGAACAAGGUCAGCUUCACGCCGUACUUCUUGGCCACCUUGGCCAUCUCCUCCUGCGCCACGUACAGCUGCCACGCCGCGGACAGGCGGCCGGCGUCCUUGCCGGAGUCGGAGUAGCCGACCAUCACCUGCUGCUUGCCGUUGAUGUGGUUGAUGUACCAGUCAGUGGAGAAGAGCUUCUCCACGGACGCCGGCGCCGCCUGCAGGUCGGCCAGCCUCUCGAACAGCGGCACCACGGGGAGCGUCUGGCGAAUGCCACACUCGCGCUGCAGGAGCUCGACGGCGAGCACGUCCGAGGGCGCCGUGCACAUGGAGAUGAUGUAGGGGCCGAAGCUGUCGAUCGGGAGCUCGGCCAGGACGCGCAUGGCGCCGAUGACGUCGGCGAUCUCCUCGGUCAUGGGAAGGUCCGGGGGCAGCAGUGGGCGCUUGCCUUUCAGCUCCGACACCAGCCACUCCAUCCGCUUGUCCUCGGGCCACGAGCGGUACGACCCGAUGCCGAGGUGCGUGGUGAUGGCGUCGAUCACGUCGGUGUGCCGCUCCGACUCCUGCCGGAUGUCCAGCUUCACCAGGGAGAGACCGAACGCGAACACCUGGCGAAGGAGGUCCAGGAGGCUCCCGUCGGCGAUGGCCUUGUCGCCGCACUCACACAGGGAUUUGUAGCACAGCUCAAGGGGCUCAAGGAACUGCACGCAUGAGAUGCAUUUUUUUUUGUGCGACAGUAAGAAUCAGACCGAAAUGUACUAGUACAUCAUAUUAUUGAUUGAUCGCUUAAAUCACAUUUCAGUUUCACAAAAGGAAUAAAAUUAAGGAACUUGCCGAUUUAUUUACCUCUUCGAUCUUGGUAAAUACCGCGUCCUCAGAAAUUUCAGAAAAUCCAGUUGCCAGCAGAUGGCGUGCACGCUCGCGUGUGUUGUAUAACUUGUCCCUUACAGCACCAAGGAUCACCCGGUAGGGCUCGUUUGGGGGAAUUUGCUUCCAGAAUUCUGCGCCAGCAUCAAAUACUCUUAUUCAGAAAAAUUGGCAAACUGACACACGUACGGCUAAUUAACACGGGGCAACAUUGUUGAAAUCAAAUUUGAAAAGACUAGUGGAGACUUUGCAAAAGCCUGUGCACGCAACCACAAUCUGCAACUUGUCCUAGUGCCGUGGGUUCUCCUAUUUUUAUCAUUCAAUAUUUAGAAAAAAAUUUCUCUACCAAAUGCCUCCCUAAUGAGAAUUCCCAUAAUUAGUGGUAGUAUUUUACUACUACUUAAAACAUUAGGAGAACUCUAUUAUUUUUGCUAGUGGCGGCAGACGAAUCUAUGAGGAGGUACGAACAAGCAAUAGCUAAACAACAAUCUGCAUCUCUAAAAACGCUUAUUAGCUAAUUCAGUCUCUCUUUUUUUUCGUGAAUACCUAAUUCAGUCUCUUUAAAUAAAUAAAUUCUUCUGUUUGUAGUUACCUAUGUAAUACUUGGUAACUUUCUUUGAAGCUGGAGUACUCUGGACUUCUUCGGCUCGAGCACGAAGCUCAUCAUUGCAGCGCCACAUAGAGAGCUAGAGACAUAUAUCAGAUGAGAGUAUUGUUAUGGAUCGGAGGCACCAAAAAAACGGCAAGCCAAAAAAAUGAGCAUUACAAAGCAUUCAAUCAAACACAUUUGUUCAGUACCUCAAACAUCAGGUCUUCGACCUGAUUGAUGUACAAGUUUGCAGCCAUCAUUCUAGACAGCAAGCACACAUCUCUUGUCACCUCCGGAGUAACUCUUGGAUUUCCUACAGUGAUAAAAAUGCAAAGAUAUACAGACUUAACAACAUCAAACAUUAGCAUCAAUACUAUAGAACAUUAAAUUAUUAAUAAAAUAGAAUGACACCGCCAUCUAGUUUAUCUUUUUUUUUAGAAAACAAAAUUGGGCUCGAAUUUUGAUAGGAGAAGUGUUGAAAAGUAAAAAUAUGAAUCUAAAUCAGUCCUUUGCAAAAAAAUAAUUAACAAGUUUGUGAUAAUUGGAUAUAGACUACAUAGUAUCUAUUAUGUCUAUUUUAGAAAAUAAACAAAGAGCAAAACAUAUAAUUCAAUAUAAAUAAUUCUUUACUAGUCAGAUGUAUUAAACAAUAUAUAUUUUAAAAUUCUAGCUCGUGGGAAUGUUUUUCUCUUAGGCCCUGUUUUGCUACCCAAAAUUUUUUCAUCCAUCCCAUCGAAUCUUUGGACACAUGCAUGGAACAUUAAAUGUACAUAAAAAAAUAAACUAAUUACACAGUUUGGUUAAAAAUCGCGAGACGAAUCUUUUAAGCCUAGUUACUCUAUGAUUAGCCUUAAGUGCUACAGUAACUCACAUGUGCUAAUGACAGAUUAAUUAUGCUUAAUAGAUUUGUCUUGCAGUUUCCUGAUGAGCUAUGUAAUUUGUUUUUUAUUAGUUUCUAAAGACCCCUCCCGACAUUCUUCCAACAUAUCCGAUGUGACACCCAAAAAAUUUUCAUCCCCAAUCUAAACAGGGCCUUAAUUGAAAGAUAGAGAGCUCCUGCCACUUUGUUAAAAAAAAAGUAAGUGGAAAUAUACCAUCACGGUCACCACCCAUCCAAGAACAGAACUUAAUGAGAGGAACAUCGUAGGGAAGGCGCUCAUUGAUGCCGAUAUUCUUCAGGGCUGUAUCCACACGGCGCAAAAACUUAGGCACACCGUUCCAUACAGUUUCAUGGAUGUAGCUCAUCCCAUAGCGCAUUUCAUCCUGUGGGGUGGGUUGUGCUCUCCUGAUUUCAUCAGUUCUGAAAGCUGCUUGGAUCUGUGUACAUCCAACAAAACAAAUUAGAACUAAACAACCAAAAUAAAUUGAUAGAUACAGUGAAGGUAACGACAGAAUUCAAUCUAAUCAUAACAAAAAACAUGGUACACAAGAGAGGGAACACUGUAAGUUUUGUUUUUCAUUUUUUUUGAAAUCAGGAAACAUUUAAAGUUUGUAUCACAGACUCUUUACAGAUGGUGCAAAAUGUUAUUGUGUAGGCCUAAUAACAAACUGCAUAUUGAGUUUUCAGUCACCUUUCUAUGUUUCUUAUAUUAAACUAAUGGUACUUGUUUAAUGUAAAUAGUGAAUUUUGUUCUGACAAGAUCACAAUGCGUUCUCAGUUUGACAUGGUCUAGUCUGAAGGUUUUCUUUUGUUGAAAGUUCUGUAUAAUUAUUCAAGAAAAUCAUACAUCCUUGUUUAUGUAGAUGACCUAAAUAAAAAUGUUGGUUCUUGUGGAACAGGUUUACUUCUAAGUAUCUCAUAUUUUUGCAUAUAAUUCGAUCUCUCUCUCGAUAGAGUGUCUAUAUUUUUCCAACGGCGUACCAAACAGAGUGAAAGGACAUGGGGAUUAGCUACCAAUAAAACAUGGACAAUUACUAAAACACCCUUAAUUCCAUAGAGUGGGAAAAAAUAUGACUCUUCAUAAAAUUUUAAUUAUAGUGUAAAGAGAAAAAUCAGGCUCGUUCUGAUUCGUGUAAUGAUUACCUAGGGAAUAGGAUAAUGUGACAUUCUUAAAUGUUAGCAAUGUUUUAAAUGAUUCUUCGUGCUCAUUCAUAUAUAUAGAGUGAAGAAGGCUUGUGCUCUCGUGAAGUGCAGCCAGACACCUCACACAAACAUAUAUAUUGACAUAUCAAUUGAGGAUUAAUUUCUCUGGCCCACUUAGUUACACGUGUGUCGUGCCCAAUGUCUUAAGCUCAUGAGUCCACUUCUAUUCUAUCUCUAUCAAAGAAAAAAUGUAACGACGACGCAAAAAGAGAUAGACACUUUGACAGGACAGUGAUUGAAAAACUUUUACGAGAAUGGCUCAAACGGUUUUCGAAUUUGCAGGAAAAUCGUGUAAAAGUGUGUAUAUCCGAGGCUAGCUCUUGAUAAAUAAAGUUAUUAUAUUCCCAGAUGUGUGAAAUGCAUGUAUGCAUGUACGUACCUCUCUGUGCAGAGCCUCGUCGAGCUCCUUCUUGUCUUCGACCGUGACGUCCUUGGCACUCAGCUGCGUCAGACAAUUCCGGAUCCUGCAACGACGACAAGAGAUCAACAUUUUUGAUCCAGAAAUCCAAGGGAUUUGGACGCGGAUUAAUUGCAGAAUGAGAUCGAGUCGUAGUAUACCUGGCGUUUUUCUGCAGGAGCGACCUCCUGGCGGACUGCGUGGGAUGCGCGGUGAAGACGAGGUCGACGCUCUGGUUCUUGAGCGCCUCGAACACCUCCGCGGGGGUCUUGCCGAGCGACACGAGGCGCUUGAGCGUCUCCUCGAUGUCGGACUCGGUGGUGGCGGAGCCCUCGUCGGAGAAGUCCCCGUGCUUGAGCUUGCUGUUCCGGCGGCGGUGCGCCAGCUCCACUUCCUCCGCCAGGUUGGCGAGGUUGAGCAUGUGCAGGAUGGAGCUCGCCACCAGGAUGGCGUCGGCGGGGGCCAGCCCCGUCAGCUUGGCUCCCAGCUCCCCCAGCUUGGACGUGUCUUUCUUGCCCUCGUAGUCGGCCGACACCUCGUAGCACUCCUGGACCUGCAUGCAUCGCAUUUGGGUAUAUAUAUAUAUAUAGUAAGCACCGGAUUCGAGACGUAUAGACUAUAGAGAGGUGAGCUGAUGAUGCUCUCAGCUCGAUCUGCUACGUACAAAUUCGCGAAGGCUGGGGCCAUGGAGGUCCUGGAGGAUGUCGAGGAAGCGGUCGACGAGCAGGGCGUCAUACUGGAUGAGCUCCUCGGAGACCUUGCCGGGUGCGAGGGCACGGAGCUGCGC
rnacentral:lncRNA from 1 species